rnacentral:lncRNA from 1 species
UCGCCCGGUCGCCCCACAACCUCCUCACGCAACCUACCUGGCCGCGCCCGGCGGCCCUAGGCCUCCUCUAUAAAACCAUCGCCCCUGCGCACCGUCCUCCCCCACCUCCCGAUCAAGCCAUCCAGCCGCCUCUCCUCGCCCUCCUGCCUGCGCGCAUCUCUCUAGAGCUUAAACUCUCCUAGAGAGAUCUCAGGCAGCCCCAAUAACCAACCGCUCGACCCAACUCGUCGUCGUCGUCGUCGCAGAUGGCCGGCCUCAGGAUGAAGCUCGUCGCCGCCGCCGCCGUGGCCGCCGCGCUCGUGGCGUCCGCCGCCGCCCAGGCCCCCGCGCCAGCGCCCACCUCCGACGCCUCGGCCGCGGUGCCCCUCGCGGCGGCGUCCUUCGCCGCCGCCGCCUUCGGCUACCUCUUCUGCUAGAUCCGUCGUCCGGGGAUGCCGUCGUGCUCCCUGGCCGGUCGGGCCUGCUGAUGAUGAUAUGAUUCGUUUUGGCGUGAGUCGAGUCCCCUGUUCGUGGCGCGUGUUGAGGGAUGUCGGUGGGCGUGUGUAUGUACGAGUCGGCGGCGGGUGGAGGUGUGCGCGCGUGGUUGGAUACGUGCGUCGACGCACCACUCUUUGUGGUGGAGAUCAUGUACCCGCUGCGCUUCUGUUUAUCAAUGAGAUGAUUUAUUUGAUUCUUUUCAUCUUAUAUACAAUAUACAUGAGAAUUGCGUAUUCAGUUUGUUGUGUUUUGCUCUGCAAACUUGCGAUGUGCAGAUUGUUGUAAAACACUGUCGAACGAUUCUCCCUCAAUCGAGUUCUUCCGUUACAAAGAAAAAGAAAACGGUGCAUCUCUCUUAAAAAAACGAUUACUAUUCUUACGACCUGAAAAUUAAGGGGUGCAGGCUACAGUUCAAAGAUGUAAUUGGAAUCUGAAAUCGAUUUGACCGACUAAGGAACCCACCAUCUGAAUUCUAAGCAAAACGACCGGCAUAACGACUUUCAUUUAUGACCAACCAAUUCAGAAUUGACAAGCUUUAUUUUUCCUCCCUCCCUCGAAAAGAAUGCUGUGGCACGGAGUCCUCGUGAAGUUCGUUAGGAGAUGCCGGGCCGGGGUUGCUUAAUUAGUUUGGUGAGGGAUCCGAACGUUGAAAUGAUUGAAGCAUGUUGGCGUCGCCACUUGCCAGCCAAGAAGCCAUGUGCUGCUCGUUAAGCACUGGUCCACAGAUGAGUUGUCUUGGUAGGGGCAGCCGUACCCGCUGUAUCAGCGCUGGCAUGCUCCAAGCUGGAAAUGGUGAGCCGUCGCAAUCGCUGCAGUAUUACCCGACUAAUAUGUGCUUUAUGGAAUUGCAGGACUGCUUAAUUUUGACCGUGCUCGUGGAUUUAGAUGCUGGUCGAUGGCUCCAGCUCGAUGCCUUUUCCUACUGUACUGGCUACUGCCGACCGAGAGUCUCAGAGCGUGCAGAAUGCAGGUCGAGUUCCGCAAAGUUGUUGGCGUACACAGCUGGGGAUUGGGCCAGUGCCAGCUCUACACACCACUGGGCCACCUUUGUGUUUUCUCCGGCCUGCUUGAAAAUGUAUUGGGCCAGUUUGUUGGGCCGCUUACUUACAUCUGUGCUCAGCUAAAUCCAGCGAGAACAAUGGAAGAGUUUUUGGCUCUAUACAACAAAUCUUUUGGUUUUUUCCCCCCCUUUCUUUUUCAUCCACAUAAGACACCCACGAUGGCGUUUAUAUUUGUAAGAUAACUGAGUUGCAUUUUUAAGUGCCUCAUUUCUGGAUUAUCGGGCAGCUUCUGAAAGGAAGCUCCAAUUAUAGUAGACGAAGUAGAAGGUUUUUUUUUCGAUUCAAGACCUGGAACGUAGGUAGCUAGAGUCUACGCACUGCAGUUACAUACUGACAAAUUGCAAUGGCGAGUCGGCGACCGACAAGCAGAGGCCAGGCACAGCUGCGUCACAUGAACUCGCUCAUCAUGGCGAGCACCUGCGCCAUCGUGGGCCUCUCCUCCGGCGCCUCGGCGGUGCACAGCACGCCGAUCUUCACCAUCCCCAUCGUCUCCUCCCCUUCGCCGCCUUCCUCGCCGUCGGCGGCCUUGUGGUCCGUCACCACCUCCAGGAGCACCAUCCCGAAGCUGUACACGUCGGACUCCUGCGUCGCCCUCGCGCCCGCGCCCGACGCCAGCUCCGGCGCCGCGUACCCGUGCCACCCGACGCUCGCCGCUGGCGGGGCCGCCGACGACGUCGCGGUCGCCGCCCGGCCCAGGAACAGGUCCGGCGGGCACCGAGCGGCCUGCGGGACGACGGACUGCUGGAUGUUUGUGGCGUAGCGCAUGAGCCCGCACUCGGACACGCACGCGCCGCCGCGCUCGUCCAGGAGGAUGUUGGACGGCUUCACGUUCGCGUGCACAAGCGCCGGCCGCGCCGGGAACGUGUGGAUGUAGUUCAGGCCCUGCGCCGCGCCGAACAGUAUGCUCUUCCUCCCCGCCCAGUCCAGGCUCCUCGCGCCACCACCUGCAGCAACAACAACGGCCCGUCAGGAACACUCGCUUUCUUGCACCGACUGCAAAUUGGCAAUGCAUUUGGGAUUUCAUUAUCUCAUUUCAGCGCGACGACGCACCACUGGCUUGCAGAAGGGACUGGAGGCUCCCGUUGGGGAGGAAGUCGUAGACGAGGAGGCGCUCGCCGUUGGAGUUGCAGUACCCCCUGAGGCUGACGACGUGCCGGUGGCGGAGCCGGCCGACGAGCCGCAUGUGGCGGUCGAACGCCUUGCUCCGGCUGGCGGGGAACUGCAGCGCGCUCAGGCGCUUGACGGCCACCACGAUGCCGUCGUCGAGCACCGCCUUGUAGGUGCUCCCGGACACGCCCUUGCCGAGCACCUCGGCGGACGCCUUGAGGAGGCUCUCCAGCCGCAGCUCCUCGCCGCCCUCGAAGCAGACCAACCCGCCGCUCUUCUGGCACUUGUCGUCCCCGUUCGCCCUCUUCUCUUGCUCCUCGAAGCAGAGUGCCGCGUCGGAGGCGUCCUUCGCCGACCGGAGCUUCCUCCUCAUGUAGACGAACAUGGCCACGGAGAUGGCUAGCGAGACCGUGAUGAGCACUGCGUUGCCAAUGCCGGUGGCCAUGAGUGCAGUCAAGCUAAGCUUACUGAAACCUCCAUUGCUGGAACUGGAAGGCACACUACCACUAACGUUCACUGCAGCACCAGGAGAUUGAGCAGCGAUACUGGUGGUAGCAUUGGAAGAACUAUCCGAUCCUAACGCAUUAUAAGCACGAACACAUCUUGGCAGAGGCGUGCCACAGAGAGCGAGAUUGCCGCCGAAAGCCGACCUCGGGAACCUGGACAGAUCGCCGGAGAUCUCCCCAGCGAGCUUGUUCCCGGACACGUUCAAGCUCCUGAGCGACGGGGCGCGCAGCGCCUCCAGGCCUCCACGGAAGCCAUUGUGCUCCGCUCUAAGCGUGAGCAGAGCACCCAGCGAGAUGUUCAGGCUCCCGGUGAGCCGGUUGCGGGCGACGAGCAGGUGCCGCAGCCACGGGCUCGCCGUGGCGUCGUCCAGCGGGGGGAGGGCGCCGGACAGGGAGUUGUUCCUGACGGCGAGCGCCCUGAUAUGGCUGAGCCGCAGGAGCGGCGCCACCUCGCCGGCCAGCGAGGCGCCGUCGAGGAAGACCCCCACCACCCUGCCCCUGGAGCACCUGAUCCCGAACCACGUGCUGGAGCACGGGUUGGGGCCGUGCCAGGUCGCCAGGGCCGUGGCGUUCGGGUUGUAGGACUUGAAGGAGAGCAGCGCGGGCAGGUCCUGGUGGCCGCCAUUGCCGACCUCUCCGUGCACAGAAGGUACCGAUAGGUGGUAGACGAGGACGGCGAGGAGCAGGAAGGUGGAAUGGUGGAAACGAGGCAUUUUGGUAGCUGUAAGAAUUUUCUUCUGUGUUUGACCGAGAAAUCUAUCCACUCGUUUUAUAGCACGGGCCGGUAACAAUUCAGCGCGGGGAAGUAGAAAAUUUUGAAUGGCGCACGAGCACAAAGGCGUGGAACGACGACGAGCAGAGGGGUCCAAAGAGGAAAGCUGGGUACCUGCGCCGACGUCGUGGGUGGGUGUCGAUGCUGAGGUCGUGGGGAGGAGGGUGGAGGUGAAAAGCGGCGCCAUGGAGGACAGGAGGAGAGGUCCAAGGGGAUGGGGAGCUGACGAGGUGCCCUUUUUCCUCCCUUGGGCAGAAGGAACUUGGACGUAUCUGGUGGGCUGCACGUAGCCGUGAUGGUCGUCGCGCCGGGGAGAUGCUGGUGCUCGCUUCGCUUUACGGAAGCGGCCGAAAGGAAGCAAGAGGGCUCGGGGUUCCACGGCGCGUGGUGGAGUAUCGGGUUCACGAGACGAGACGGGAGUAGCGAGUGGGGACGUUGGCGUCAGGUGGCGCCACGCACCGGUAGGGGAGCAGACAGGAAUGGAUUCCAGCUUCACGUUGCACUAGUCCCCCAGAGUCACAGUGAACCCGGAACACUGAACUGGGUUCAGGUGUCGGGGCAUCUAUUGUUGGGUCCGUUCGUGCUGUGGGCCGAGCCAGGUCUUGCCACCCGAUCCAGCCCAGUAACCGGAGUAGCCAAGAUUUUGUUGGGGCGUCGGGUUCAAACUUCAAAUUGGCAGGUGGAGACGCUUCCAAACGGGUUCAUAGUGAGUCAUUGCUACUGGUACUACGGAGGACUAGGAAGGUUAAUUAUCAUUAUGAACAGUGUUAGUUAGCACCGUCGUCUGAAUGAAAGGUCAUGACAUGCUCGUGAAACCUCGAUUCUAAUGUAUGCGCGCAGUUUUUGGUAUAUCAACUCAGAACUCGACUGGUGGUGUGGUGAGCACAAAAAUGCAUCUUGUUUUUUUUUUCCCACUAAGGGCUACGUCCAAAUUUCAUUACUGUUUAGGCAAUGAAAUUACAGAGUAUGAGAGUUGUCGACACCAUGGUCACACCAGAGAUUACAAAAGCAUCUCCAGGAGGACAGGUGCAGACGGCCUUUCCACCUGGGAGGAAUAAAGCGAGCCUACUUAUUACAUGACACAGAACUAACAGCAUGCUAAACAUCUCACAGCCAACCAAACUAGGAACAUUUCUCAACCAGCCUCCAAAGUUGCUUUGAGCAUCACACUGUAUCCAGACUUCCUGGCUUGAUUUGGGACAGCACUUCUUCUCUUUUUUACUGCAGCAGUACCAUCCCUGUGUCGUCGGUUGUUGCUUCACGGGGGUGAAAGUGCAACGCCGUCGCCUUCAUUGCAUCAGCGCCAGCCUCCAGGAUCGUCCUCCCCUCCGGCUUAUGAAGACCUGCUCAAUAUGAAAUGAAAACAGAUGCUGAACAUAUAAUCUCUGAAGGAGAUUUGACCUAUUUUUUAUCAAAGCAAGCAGCAUUUCUAGCUUUCCAGAGUGCCCAGCAGACCGCUGACAGCCCCACCACAUGGAUGUUUUUGUUUUGUGACAUAUACUAUCUAGUCCAUUCCCAAAAUUGGGCAAAGGUAGUUGGUCUACAUGGAGCACCAAUUACCAUGGCAAUAAGGCUCCAUACAUACCUAGCCAAGGCAUAUCCAAAGAAAAGGUGUUUCGAUGUUUUCUUCCAUAUGACAGAAACAACAGCUUUUGUCCCCCUGCCAGUUGCGUUUUAUAAGGUUGUCUUUAGUCAGAAUAGCAUCUUUUUGGAUUAACCACAUAAAGAUUUUUAUCUUCAAAGGGAUUUUGGCUUUCCAAAUAUUGUCAUGAGGACUGGGUAUAGACUACCGCCUCAUCAUCGACACAUCGAACAACGAUGGCAAGGAUGCCAAGUACGAGGCGGUGGUUCAUGAGAAAAACUGGGGAGACCAAAUCACUCUCUUGUCCUUUAAGCGAGCAGACUCUCAGCAACAAUUGGCAUGAGCAUGUUAAUCACUCUCUUGUCCUUUAAGGAUGCCAAUGAUUUGUAGUAGGGUUGCCACCUUGAUUAAUGCUUAUCACUACUUGCUCUACAACUAUUGCAUUUUGUGUUUACUCCAUUUAGCGUCCUUUCGUUACGCCUUGCUUAAUGCUUAUCACUACUUGCUCUACAACUGCUGCAUUUUGUGUUUACUCCAUUUAGCGUCCUUUUGUUAAUCGUUGAAAUGGCGUGGUAGCUGCUGCGUAAUGCGUAUCAUGUAAUUUGGCAUCUCCAAUAUAAAUGGGAUUUUCAGCCUAAAUAAAAUGUGAUUGGGAAAUUUGGCUUCCCACUUUUGUACAUGAUGCAAACGGUCAUAUACAUGCACACACAAUUACAAAUACACGCACGCUAGUUCGAUCUUCAAGUUUAAUAUAGUUUCAGCUGUUCAAACAUUGGAUUGAACAUGACCGAUCCAUUUGAAAGUAGAUUGCUUUCAAACACAAAACGUGGAUUGCGUUAAAUAUUUUUAUUAGACAUAUUAGGAAUGUAAAAGUCAAAUUUAUAAUAAUUUAACCAAACAUUAGUCAAAUUCUAUAAAUCCUCAGUAUAAAAGUUAUAUGGAUGAAUUCAAAUAUGAAAUAUCUUACUUCUAUACAUCUAAUAGUAUAUUGUAAUAGAAACUAUAUCAGUCAAUAUAUAUCUAUAAAUAUUUUCAAAUCAUCAUGUGCCUACUAAAAACAAACAAAGUUAAUGUUAUGGUUGUGAUUUUAUUGCUACAAAUAUUACUAGUAUUAUAAGAGCAUCUGCAGCAGUCUCCCAAUAAAUAUUUCCCAAUAACUAGUUAAUAGGGAUAUUCCAAUAUCACUUUCAUCGUUAUUGGGAGAGUUGCUUUUGCAGUCUCCCAAUAAUUUCAUCCCAAUCCAACUACCGUAUUGAGAGAGUUACAACUCCUUUAUUUAGGGAGAGUUGGGAUGAAUUAUUGGGUUGUCCCAAUAAUUAUUGGGAAAAGGGAAAGUUAAAGGAAGACUGUUGGAACACUAUUUUCUUAUCAACUCUCUCAAUAUGAUAGUUGGAUUGAGGAAAGGGAGAUUGCUAAAGAUGCUCUAAUAAGCUAUGUAUUCAAAACAAAGUGGUCAUGCGGGUAUUAGAGUUGUGAUCCGAAAUAACGGCAGGAAAAUUCUGUUAUCUGCAUGGCGAGUCAUUUUUUAUGCAGUGAGCGUACAGGAAGUGGAGGCAUUGGCAUGCAAAGAAGGGUGGCCCUUGAAGGGAGCCCGCGAUCUUAGAGUUAGACUGCAGUGCGGUCAUUCACUAAAUCAAGGAAGCGAGUAAGAUGAUACUAGCUAGCAUAAUUUUUCACGGUCUAGAAGGCUAAGCGCCUAGCGGAAAGUCUCCCAUGUCUCGUUUUGAGUCAUGUAAAGAGAUAGCAGAACGUAGUCGCACAUGAGCUUGCGAAGCAAAUCGCAAUGUAGUGUGGUGUGAUCAUCCCCCACUUAUAUGAGCAUUUGAUUGCUCAUGCCUGUAAUUUUUUUUUUGAGCAAUCAAUAAAGCGCUCUCUCUUUUUUUAAAAAAAAUUUGCAAAGAAAGAGACUACGAAUCAAAGUUGGAGAAUGUGACGAGUCAAAGCAUAUUGUGAAAUGGAGGCAGCAAAAUCCUAACGCUUCCUGUCGCAUCGACGUUCGAGCUCUGUGUACUUAAUUGAUUGCCACGUAGAAGCCGAAGAGUGCAGCGUCGAUUCAACUGGCGCGCGUCUAGACCCUAUAAAAGGACGGGGUUUCCAAGGCAGCACUGCACCGAUGCUUGCUCUGCACCAGCAAAGGCAGUCAAACUAACAGUACGCCGGGCACCGGAAGAUCGAUCGACCAGGCAUGUCGCCGCCGCCGGAGCAGGACAGGAGGCUUGGCGUCGUCAAGCCGGAGCCCGAACCCAUGAUCAAGCUCAAGGUGCUGGACAACGAGGGUCGCAGGGUCUUCCACACCAUGAGGAUGUCCGACAAGCUCCAGGCGGUCAUGGAUGCGUACUACGCGAAGGCGCCCGACGUGACCUACGGCUCCGGGACCUUCAUGUUCGAUGGAUCCAUCCGGCUGCGGGGCAGCGAGACGCCGGCGGAGCACGGUCUGCAAGAUGACGACGUGAUCGACUCCUACGAGGACCUGGUGGGCGGCGGACGGGACGACGCCUGAUGCACCGGACCGGCGGCUGAUCGAUCGAUGGCCGCGCGAGUACGUCGUAGCAGUCGUUUAAUGGAUGUCGUUAUAUUAUCAUUCGCCAGUCAUCACUAGUCUCCAAUUAUUACAAAGACGUAUCAUCUACUAGGAUUCAUCUUUCUACUAUACAUGCAAGGUGGAUCCAAUAUGUUCUCUUGAAACUUUGUUAUUGAUGUAUCUUCACAGUUUACCUGCUGAAUUCAACUGUCAAAACUUUUCUAAGGCCCUGUUUGGAUCAUUGGAAUUGAAUUCCAUCCUAAUAGUCAUAAUUUAGACACAAAUUAAUUAAGCUAAUAUAAUUGUAUGUGGAAUAUAGUUGUAUAUUAUAGUUGGUGAUAUAGGAGAGAUACUUGUAUGCUGCACUUCUACUAUAGAGAAGCGAGUCUAAGAGCGUGCUAUAAGAAUUGAAUUCCAUUCUAAUAACCAUAAUCUAUAGAAUCAAUUUCCAUCUCCCACCCCAUGAAUUUAAGAUAGGCUUAUAUCUAAACUUUGGAAAGUUGUGGAAUGCCACAUUCCAACAUAAAUUAGCCUACUCCAUUAAAUAGAUUCCAAUUCCUUGGACCCAAACGAGGCCUAAGCGAAAUGCAAGCGUUCGUGGUAUAGCACUUGGAUCAUCCACGGCCCGAUGAUCGAUUGCCCAGGCGGCUGAGAUCUCUUUAGUCGUCUAGAGCUCACGGGGGAAUUCCGAAGAUGCGUUCGGGGCAUUCGAUAGCUUAUCCGCGUCCUGGUACGUCAUGAUUCAUGAACAGUUUGAUCUGGUAAAUUAUGAUUUCAUUGAAGACAUUGCCGUUCCAUUUUCUAUUGAUGAAUUUUUUUAUUAAUCUUCUCGUAAAAAGUUUUUGACGAGGCACUUUAUGCGAUCCAUUGCUUACGAUAUACAUCAAGUUCAACAAAGUGGUUUGGCCUUUUUUUUAGAUAUGCAAAAUAUAAAUCUAUUGAUGCAACUUUGAGACAUGAAAACAUAUAAUUUGACUACUCUUGGAGUAAAACCUACAAAUUAAAGUAUUGACUAUUUGAUACAACCUACGUAAAGAAACAGAGUAAGCAAUGCACGUCAAGCAGACAAAUGAUACGAUCAAGUUCAACAAAUUAAAGUGGUUAGUGGUGAGAAGCAGAUUUUGGUAGGCAUAUACUUCCGUCUCAUCAUCGAUGCGUCGAACAACAAUGGCACGGAUGGCAAGUAUGAGGCGGUGGUGCACGAGAUGGAUUGGGGAGAAAAACUCUCCCUUGAGUCCUUUUAAGUCGGCUAAUUGAUCUACAGUUAGAAUGACCGUCUUAAUGCAAUUAUCCUAAAUAAUGAUGUCAAGGUGUAUUUUCAUGCCUUUGGAUUUUUUUAUGGUUAUAUACAAUUGUCUCAGGAAGCUUGUGCCUCAAGCAUGUCUCUCUCCUAGGAGUAGAUCACUGCCUCACUGGAGACCACAAGAUCAUAGAGCUUCCGACUAAAGUGAGCAGUUUCUUCGAGCUUCUGAGUUCACCAGAAAGAGCGAGGUUGCUACUAAAGGGAGCAGUUUGUUCGAGCUUCUGACUAAAUCGAUCCAAAAUUAUGUCAAACAAUUUCCACUAAAUUACAAGAUAACUAUAUAUUGCAGGAGCUGAUGUGAUAUGAAUCCACUAAAUCACUUCCAAGUUGUAUUUGAACAAACUGUCCAUCGGUUUCCAUCCAUUUCGCCGGAAUACAAGCUCUUAUUAGUAAGGGCUGCAUGCAAGGACUGUCUUAAUUUUUUGCUGUAAGGUAAAACUAGUUGUCAAUUAAUUUCAGGCCAAUCAUUUUCUACUAAAAAUUGCAAGAUACUACUUAAUUUGACACAUCCAAUUAAUAUUUUCCAAAUUGUAUCGAACACCCUGUCCAUCAGCCAUUUGUUGGCAACGUCACGAGGCUAAGUGCUAUUAAAUGCCUCAGUCGUGUCUCCAAUCUUCAGCAAAAACUAUGAACCUGCCAAUCUUGUUAGUACUUCAAUAGACUUCCUCGAUUCUAAAUUAUAGUUCACUUUAGCGUUGUUCUAAACCAAACUAUUCUCUCUGACUAAAUGUAUAGAAAAAUAGAACAAUAUCUACUAUCAGCAUAUUUCUUAGCAGAUUCAAUGAAACUAUAAUUUGACGUUAUAGAUCUUAAUGCCUUUUUUAUGAACUUGAUCAAAGUUAAAGAGAUUUGACUCAGAACAAUACUCGUAUAUACUACUUACAUUUUAAAAGAAGUAUAAAAUAAAGUAGUUAUUGUAAUGAAUGUAAAAUAAGCUUAGAAGAAACCUCAAUGACCAAAUUGGGACUGCAGAAAGUACUUUCUCCACCCUAUUACUGGCUCCGCACGCACAAGAGAAACAAAAGCACGAGCUUGUGGCCAUUAUUCAAACAAUAAAAUUAGCACUAGUCACUUGGAGAGAAACCGGCAAAACAUCCAGAAAUAUACCACACAUAGGGGUGGUAAUGGAUCAUGCCUCCUUCACAAUCCAACUCAACCCUAUUUAUUUUUAGUUCAAAAUCAUAUAUUAUUAUAGCCCGAUACAUAUUGAGCCUGAUCCUUAAAUUUGCUAAGUUAAAUUAGAGGGCCCUUUACCACACCUAACCACGCCACAAGAACAAAAUUCAACAAGCUGUUGGUAACUCGGUACUCUACCGGUUGGAUACAAAACAAUAUUAAAAACUGCUGCUACUAAUAUUCUCUUAAUGAAAUACAUGCACGUUUAUAAAAAAAAUGACUCACAUGACCCUCCUAAACCUAGAGAACAGACUCGAUUGAAACUAAUCGGAACGUAAUAAUAGUGAGCAAAGUCACUGGCAUGUAAAUAAACUAAGUCUAAGUAAGAGCUGUAUAUCUAGAAUAUGAGGUCUUGAUGGACUCCUCGAACUCGUUGACGACGGCCUUCCAUCCGGCAUGGGUCGGGUUGAUGUCGUCCCAGUAGAAGAACUUGUCCGGCUUGGACCCCAGGCUGUACUGCGGCUCACCGUCCUGCACCUGCCCGCAGAACCCGCUCUGGUCGAAGCUCUCGCAGCACGACUCCAGCCUGUACUUGAACUGCUUCGAUCGCGGCGACGGGCCCGCGUAGUGGCUGAAUGCGGCUUUCAGGUCGAGGUUGAAGACGGCCUCGUCCUGGAACACCUUCUCCUCGAGGUACGAGUUGUGGAUGCUCGCCACCUUCUGGCUGUCGCACUUGGCAUCGUAGACGCCGUCCUCGGACCUCGACAGCCACGGCGUGCACCCGAGCGGGGGCAGCGAGGUCACCACCACCUUCUCGACGCCCAGGUCCAUCAGCUGGUCCACGGCGUCGGCGAUCUUGUCCGUCACCUCCUGGGCCUUGGCCUUCACCUCCGUGCUGGUCAUGUCGUUGAAGCGCUCGUAGUCGCGCCUGCCGGAGAAGGCGAUGAGCGCGACGGAGUCCGUGAGGUCCUCGUCGAUGAUGCCGAGCCUGACCAGCCUCUUGAACUUGUCCACCUGCCUGCCGAGCCUGGGCGCGUCGCUCGUCCCCUCCACCACGCCGGCGCCGCCGACGGCGAAGUUCAUGCCGGACGGAUCGACGCCGUCCUGCUUCCUCUUACUCUCCGCCGGAGGGGACUCCUUCCGCCCCAGAAUCCUCGCUGCACAAAUUAUGUAUUGAUGAGACAGGGCCAGGAUUUAGAAUAUUAAGUACUGAUCCGAGCUUAUUAUUACGUACCGAAGAAAUCAGAGAGGACCAAGCCGUUGGAGAAGCGGCCGCUUGGAGUGGCGCCGUGCUCCUUGUCGUUGCUGCCGUACGGGUAGUACCAUGCGCGCGUCGUCUUGGUCAGGUCUGCUAGCGGGAAGUUGCCGGCGUCGGCGAACUCGUCGCCGAACACGAACAGCUUAUACCGCCGGCCCGAGUCGCUGUCGCGAUGGCGUCGGGACUCCACAUGAGCAGCUGCUAACAACAACGUUAAUUAAAGCUCCGAUCCGAGAGCAGGACAAUGCACGACAGCAAGCAGAACAACACAUACCGUUCAGCAGGAGUAGGAGGCCGCAGACGGCGGCGAAAAGAAGCUUCAUGUUGGCUGGUUCCUUGGAUUUCGAUCGAAGGCGAGUUGCGCGGGGCGCGGGUGUUGAGGUGAGUCAAUUGCUGAGUCGUGGUGCCAGGACGACGGCGAGCGUCGCAAUUUAUACACGGGAGAUCGAGUUCCGAGUCCUACUGGGGGUGGGGGAGGCGCGCUUGUUUGCCCAGUCCGCCGCCGACUGUAACUCGUUUCCAAGCCUAGCUGCUACACUGACGAACAACAAGUCAGAAAGCCGACGAUUCCUGCUCGGAGUUGGCGGGUUGGCGGGCCUUUUCUCUCUAGGAUCUCACCAGGCCUCAAAAUACCCGGGCCAGUACAGCAGAAGAGGCCCAUCGCUACCACCCCAAUACAUGCAUACGACCAGCGUUCACUAAUGGGCCCCAUCCCUGUCUGCACGGACGACGAUAGAAGUUGGCCCGAAAUCAACACGGCUGGGCCUGGGCUGUGCAUCACAGAACCCUUUUUUUCUUUGGCGACGAACAAAACCCCUCGCCACUACUACUUAGCCACGCAUGAUGAUGAUGAAUUUACGUUUGAUGAUUGCUUGUUGAUCAAUCAGUCGAUCGAUCGAUCUGCGGAGUACUCUGACGGAAGGAAAGCUAACCCUCUCCGCCGGCGCCGGCGCCACCGCAAUGUGGUUCACCUCCCGUCGCAAACCCAACGCCGCCGAACCUUCCGAGGAUGCACCGUCGUCCUCCUCGCCACGCAGCUCGCAACCCCGCGGCUACUCCCUCCGCAUCUCAUCCUCCAACCCCUGCCCCCAAACCCAGAGCUCCCGCGACGGAGCCCUAGCCUCCGCCACCUCCUCCUCCGCCGCCGCCUGCGACCUCGGCGGCGGAUGGGGGAACUCCGUAGGCCGCGGCGGCGGCGGCUUCCUGUGGUGGAUCUUCUCCGCCGGAGCGGCGCGCGCGGACGAGGGGAAGCCGGCGGGGGCCGACUGGGACGCGCACGGGCUCCCGGUCACGCGCACGCCGGUGCCGCUCUCCAGGCUCGACGGGAGGAAGCGGUACAAGGUCUCCGAGCUCAACUUCCUUGACUGCCGCGCCCGGGACCGCGCCAGCGCCGCGGAGAAGAACCCCUUGUUCGACGACAUGGCCAAGCUGCGCCCCGGCGGCGUGUACACCCGGUCGCAGCUGCUCGGGCAGCUCCAGGCGAUGACCUCCUCCGGCAUGUUCGAGCAGGUCAGCCUCCAAGGGAAGCCCAAGCCGGACGGCACGCUCGCGCUCACCGUCACCUACGCCGAGAACAUCUGGCCUGGAGCCACCAAACGGUUCAAGUGCGUCAACGUUGGACUCAUGGCGCCGCCCGACGCUGGCCCUGCUGAGGACAUGACGGCGAGGGAGAAGAUGGAUUACAUCCGGAGGCAGGACCAUGACUACCGGCAGCGAAUCCGCAGCGCCAAGCGGUGCAUUCUACCGGAGUCUGUGCGCGAGGAGGUGCUGGGGAUGGUGAAGAAGCAGGGGAAGUUGACCGCCGGGGUGCUGCAAAGGAUGAGGGACCGCGUCGAGAAGUGGUACCACGACGAGGGCUUUGUGUUCGCCCUGGUGCAGAACUUCGGGAACCUCGACACCGACGAGGUUGUGUUGGAGGUGGUAGAGGGGGACAUCACCAUGGUGGAGUACCAGUUUCAGGACAAGCUUGACAAUAUCGUCGAGGGGAACACUCACAUCGCUGUCGUUGACCGGGAGCUGCCCCAGCAGGUAUGUAUAUAUAUAUAGGCAAUUUUCCUUACUACAUCAACAUCAGUUCCAUGGUUAAUUAACAUGUUCUGUUCGAGAUGUCUAUGGAUGAAUUGUUGUUUAAUGUGCCACGAGUUGAUUGGUUCGAUGUAUUCUAUUACGAUUCUCAAACACAUUUACUCUGACCUGAUAUGCUUUCUUGCAACCAUGUAAUUUACCUUCUGCCUUUCUUACACUGUGCAGCUUCGACCUGGCCAUAUCUAUAACAUUGGGGCAGGGAAACAAGCUCUGAAGCAUAUCAAUUCACUCGCUUUAUUCUCCAAUAUAGAAGUGAACCCUCGCCCUGACGAGACAAAAGAAGGGGGUGUAGUGGUUGAAAUAAAACUCAAGGAACAUGAACCAAAGUCGGCCGAAGUAACUACAGAGUGGAGCAUUGUGCCUGUGCAUCAAGGGAGACCAACUCUUGUAAGGCACCACUUAUUUGUAACCUUUUUUCCUUCUUCUCUGCAGAAUCUGUACCUUGAAUGAUAGAAAACAUCAUAAAUAUAUAACCGCCAAUCAUUAUAAAUCCAUGUUUCACAACCCAUCUCACGGAAACUUUCUUUUUAGGCAUCAAUUCAACCUGGAGGAACUGUGUCAUUUGAGCACCGCAACAUCUCUGGUUUAAACAGAUCUCUUGUCGGUUCUGUUACUUCCAGCAACCUGCUCAAUCCUCAGGUGAGUUGGUACUGAGUUCUUUUAUUGAAAACAGAAGCUUUGAUGCAAUGUUGCUUUGGUUUACAAUUACAUCUACAUUCGCUCUGAUCUGCUUGUACUAAAUUAGCUGAAUUGUCACUUAUAACCGUCUCAGUCUUCCUUUGUAACUAUAUGUUUCGAGUCAUAUUUCAAUUAUCAUUAUUACAUGAAGUGUGGAACUCAGUUGAGUGUCUUCUGCAUUGAAAUGUGAAACAUUGCAGACUUUAAUUGCCAUUCUGCUGCAAUCUGAAAUAAGUAAAUAAAAUUAUACCCUUGUUUCAUGAUUUAAAAACAUUUAGUUUAUAAAAUGUACUGGUAUGGUUUACAAGGCAUAUGUUUCAUUUUUAACUGAUCCGUUAUAUUUGUAUUUACGGCAUGUUUCUUUUGGGAUAUCAGGAUCAUCUCUCAUUCAAGCUUGAGUAUGCCCAUCCUUAUUUGGAUGGUGUGGACGACCGUAGUAGAAACCGCACCUUCAAAGCUAGCUGCUUCAACGUCAGGAAAUUAAGUCCUGUCUUUGUUGCUGGCCCCAACAUGGAUGACGCUCCACCUAUCUGGGUUGAUAGAGUUGGAAUUAAAGCCACUAUAACAGAGGUUUGCACAGAUUGAUAUUACCUUCUUCAUCUUUUGAUUUUCAUAAAUAUCUACUCCCAAGAUAUAUUUUUAACAUGAGGAAACUGCAUUUGGAAAUUUUUUUCAGAGCUUUACAAGGCAGAGCAAAUUCACUUAUGGCCUCGUGUUGGAAGAGAUUAAAACACGCGAUGAAGAUAACAACAUAUGCACACAUGGUUCUCGAGUAUUGCCUAGUGGUGCAUUGAACAUGGAUGGACCUCCCACAACCUUCAGUGGUACCGGUGUAGAUCGAAUGGCAUUUCUACAAGCUAAUAUAACUCGAGACAAUACUGAGUUUGUAAACGGGGCAACUAUUGGUGACAGAUGUAUAUUCCAGGUGGGGUGUUUUGUUCUCAGUGAAUUUUCAAUUGUUGCUGGGUGUUUAAAACCAAAUUGACUGCACUGUGCCAAAAGGAGAAAGCCAGCUCCUUACACAACUGAUGUUUCUGUUUUCGUAUGAGGCUGCUGCACAAUGCAUAAUGCUGACUGUUUAGGCACAUUUUAGCAAAUGUUAUCAUUACAAUUUUUUUAGAAUCAAGGUAUUCUUGUUUAUGUUAUAAUUGCUUUUCAGUUAUAUUUUAAAUAUCUGGGUUAGUUCUUGUUUAACAGCAUCAUGUGUUUAUAGAAAGUUCUCCAUGGUAAAGUAAAUCCACUUAUAAUUUUCUUGUGGGCCGCAGUUGGACCAAGGUCUUGGCAUUGGAAGCAAAAAUCCAUUCUUCAACCGUCAUCAGCUUUCAGCGACAAAGUUCAUUAAUUUGAAUAAGCAAGAUAAAGGUGCUGGCAAGCCACCACCAGCAAUUUUGGCGAUUCAUGGUCGCUACGCAGGCUGUGUAGGAGAUCUGCCGAGCUAUGAUGCAUUUGCAAUCGGAGGACCUCACUCUGUUAGGGGCUAUGGCAUGGGAGAACUGGGUGCUUCCAGGAAUCUUCUUGAGGUGAGCAUCAAACUAUCGAUCCUCAGGGGGAUUUGGCACUUACUCUGAAUCAUGAUGCAUAGUUGUUAUCGCUGUUCAUGUCGUAGUCGUGGAGGUUUUGCUUUUCUUCGGAUUUGUUUUGAAUCUUAUAUCCAUGCAGGUUGCCACUGAGUUGCGUGUCCCCAUCACUGUGAAGAACAAACAAACGCAGGUGUAUGUAUUUGCUGAGCAUGGCACUGACCUCGGGAGUUCCAAGGACGUGAAGGGCAACCCUACAGAGUUCUUCCGACGCGCAGGCUCUGGGUCCUCCUAUGGCAUUGGUGUCAAGCUCGGCACGGUAAGGGCGGAGUACGCUGUAGAUCACAAUGCUGGUACGGGAGCCUUCUUCCUGAGAUUUGGCGAAAGAUUCUGAAGGCCGCGUCUCUGUCCAGCUUGACGAUCAGAAAGCCCUAUGUAAAUUCGACUGCCAACUUUCUAGAAUAAAAUUAACUCGUGAAGAUAUAACGUCACUGAAUCUUGUAGCAGCAAGGCCCGCGUUAUGAAUGGUUGAGAGUAAAGUCAGAUUCAACUGGAAUAAGAGUUUCGUUUUGAUGGAAGGAUGUCAUUGUACUCUCUUCCUCCGUGGAACUGUACUAGAUGGUAGUCUCGGAGUAUUAUCUUGAACUUGGUAACUAAACCUAUUGAGUGUUAGGAGGAUAAAACUCUUCUCUCAAACUAGAACUUGUGCAUUCACGAUGCAUCCGACAGCUUGCAUCUGUCGGGUGCACGAGAGCACCAGAUGUACUCGGAGCACCCAAUCUUCUCUUACAUCAUUUUUUAAUCUAAAUUGCACAAAUUUGAUAAAUUUGGGCUUUGGGUGAUUUCGAAAUUGCUAUCGCAUUUUCUAGAAUUUAAAAAGUUAUGAUUUAAUCAAAAAUUCAUAACUAACUUAUUUCAAAUCUAAAAAAUAUGAAGUUGGUACAAAAUUUUUCUAAAAAUGUAGGCUAUUUGUUCAUACUCUAUUUGAAAUUGUUUACAUCAUAUUUGUUACUAAACCUAAGUGUUAUAUUGUUUUUAAUAAAACACAAGGAACAUGAACAAUCUAGUUUUAAAUAAUGCUAAAUAGUACACCAACAGAUAGUUUACAUUUUUAGAAAAAUUUUGGCACCAAUUUAAUAUUUUUCUGAUUUGAAAUGAAUUAGUUAUGAACUUUUUAAUUAGAUCUAAACUUUUUAAAUUUCUAAAAAAUUGCAAACCACUCCUAAAACUAUCCAAAUGGCUAAAUUUAUCCGGUUUUGACAUAUGAAUGGCCCUCCGUGUCCAGUUUUGUAGUUGUCAGUAUAGACAUGUGUCACAUCACUUUAUUAAUGAAGUAAAAAUUCCUACAAAACCUUCGCUGCAAAUGGCCUUACCGCCUCCCGAUUAUCACCGUUUGUUGUUACCUUUUUCUUUUCCAUUGCUAUGUUUGUCCUCCUCGCCUUUGUGCUCCCCACGUUAGGUGAAUUUUCAAACCUUUAAGGCUAAGAUUGGGAGCCCUUUGUUUUCUCAUUUUUUUAAAACAAAAGAAGAAGAAAAUGAAAAGCGGCUUUACCUGCACAACUGCAGUUUUGGCUAGAAUUUACUCCUAUGUCGAGUAAUUGCUCAUGUAGUGUCGCGGCAUCUUCCAUCGCUUCGACUCCUAUGCAUUAACGCAUGGGAACGCAGCAAUCGGAAAGUUCAGUCUUGAGUGCGGCUGCCUUGGACGGUGCAGGGUGGAGAGCGGGGAGGCUUUGCAUGCAUGGAGUUAAUUAUUAAUGGGCUAAUGGCCGCCUAACCUUCUCCGUUCUGCUUGUGAUAAAACUGAAUCGGCGGCGCAUGCCGGACACCCGUUAUAUAGACCAAACAUGCUUAUGACUAAAAUAAGCUGAAGCUGAAACUAGUAGCCAAACGGUAUACUUUUUUCAGCUUCUUCUGUCUGCGCUUCUCUCCACAGGUUCCAUUUGUUUUCCUAUAUUAGUACAGUUUAUUUGAGAAGCAGCUCCCGCAGCAGUACCGUCGUAACCACACGCCCGGCGGAAAGCCUGGGAAAGCAUAGUACCAGCAAAGGAGUCGCCGGAGCCGCCCGCGAUGACGAAGUACGUCACGCUCUCCGUCCGGGACGAAGAGUACCGCGAGAUCACCCGCACCAUGCGCACGACCGACAAGCUGCACACCCUCAUCGAUUUCUACUACGACAUGGUGCCCGCCGUCGCGUACGGCGAGGGGGCCUUCCUGCACCGCGGCGAGCCGGUCGACAGGAUGAAGACGCCGGCGGACUACGGGAUGCGCGAUAGGGACGAGCUCGCCUUCUCGUCGCAGAUCGACUCGAGCACGUUCCUCACGCUGACCGUGCGGGAAGAGGAAGGGCUCGGGUCCUUCUCCCUCACCUUGCGAACGACCGACCAGCUGCGGGACCUGAUGGACUUCUGCUACGAGAUGGUGCCCACCGUCGACUACGGCGACGGGGUCUUCCUGUUCAACGGCAGGCGGGUUAAAGGCCACCGGACUCCGGAGGAGCUCGGUAUGGUGGAUGGCGAUUGGAUCGGUGUUACUUUCAGAGUUCGUUACUGAACGUCGUCGGGCUGCUUCCGCUGAACCGGCACCGCCCGUAUGUUGCUGCACUUUUCGUUGUGUAAGCAGCUGCUACUUGCGUGCAUCUAAAUUUCACGCAUCUUUUGUUCCAAAAUUUAUCGAUAUCCAUGAAUCGAUCCCUCUCACUCAUCUCACCGUGCUUAUGAUGUACUGAAAUAUGUCAUGGUUACCUAUUCUAGAGUAUCGAGUUUAAAGCCAAAAAAUAUGUAGUAUGUCAAUGUGACUUGAAGUGACAUGAUUCAACACUUUACACAAAAGCAUGGUCGUGCAACUUGAUUGAAUUGAUUCACAUUUUGUGAACAAAAACUAAUUCAACAAUUUCAAUGACCUGAUCUAGCGUUUUGUUAAACUAAUCGAUUCAACAUUUUAUAUCAAACUGUUUAGAAUGUUGAACUAGCGCGCUCAAACUUCUGAACUUCCUACGAUCGGAUCGGCCCAACCACAGCCCUAAACGGUCCGGCCCAGGGCGGCCUCGGUCGGUUGCCCUCUCGCCCAGCACGGGACCAUACCCGGUGCAGCGAAUCGGGUAUCCUCCCGCCGCCGCACUCUCUUCGUCCCGGAUCGAUCCCCAUUCCAUUCCCCACCCGGCUCCAGCACGGAACUUUCCUCUCUCUAGGGUUCCCCCCCUAUCCCCCUCGAGUCUCGACCGUACAGGUAAAUUACAGGUCCACCCGUCCCGCGUUCGGUCCGAUCCCGUGAUUCGAGCCUUCGCGCAUCGAUCCGGGACUCUUCCGCCCGCAAAUUUCCCCGCGGCGGAGUUUCGCGGCCUCUUUGUAUUUGGGCCAUUCGAGUUGAUUAUUUUGGAGGAUUGAGUGUGCGUUGUUAGAUUUUUUGUGCGACGACUGCGGUGUGUUAAUUGGAGGUUGAAAGAAUUGUAGCUGUUUUGAGGCGGCAAGCGAGUGCUGCAGAAGCAUCACAUCUGCGCCGAGGCAUGGAUAAGGAGCUCUUCGCCAACGACGGCUCCUUCAUGGAGAGGUUCAAGCAGAUGCAGCAGGAGAUGCAGGAGAAGGAGAAGGCCGCUGCUACUGAAGCCUCAUCGGCUCCCAAGCACGGGAGCUCCAAGCCGGGGUUUGCUGUUGCGGCGAACAAGAGGCCGUUCGAGCUGAAGAAGGCUGGUCCAGUCGCCACGGGCGGGAAGCUGGCCUUUAGCCUGAAGAAGGCCAAGGUCGCGGUCGCCCCUAUUUUUGCGGCCGACGAAGAGGAAGAGGAUGUGGAGAGGGAGGAGCCUGCCAAGCGCCACAAGUCUGUGCAAGCUGAUGCUCCUGUGGCAGCUACCCCGGCAGGGGCUGUUGGUAAUCAUUUAUUUAUUAAUUAAUUCAUUCAUUUAUUGCUGUUAUAAUAUACAAAAUUAUUAGUGGUUUCCCAUUCUUUGGAUUUUUUGUUGGCGUUCUGUGGGUGUAGUUGCUAUCAAAUGAUAAGAUAGAAAUAUGCGACAAGAAUUUUAAUUCAAUAAUUGUCCUAGAACAUCAGCUAUAUAUUGCCUCUUAUCUUUUUUGUUUUUGAAUUCAUUCCCCAUAUAUGUGACAUAUCAUAGGUUUUACUCUUGAGAUGACUUCUAAUUUGGAAUCCCAUACCCCAAUUAAUACCACCGACACAUAUGGUUAUAUUGUCAUUUUUUAAUACAUUUUUCUGUUCCAUGCAUUUGAGGGUGUUAUCCUGAGUCCUGACAGUAUUGCAUUCAUAUUGAUAGUGAAACGAACUAACUAGAUACUUUUUAUUUCAUUUGUCACAUACUGAUUUAACUAGAAAGUAGCAUUGCGUUGCAUAUGCAUUUUUAGUGAAAUUAUUACUUAUAGGACUGCUUGGAUGUCAAGUAUAUUUUGGUUUCGUAUGGUUUCUAUAAUAUGUCAUAGCAUAAAAACUUUUAGGUGUUGGUAUACAACUAACAGUGUACAAAUGUAGUAUUCCAACCACCAUGUUAUUUUGGAGUUUAUGAAGGAAACCCAUUAAACACCUCUUUUUCCUAAAAAGUAAACACGAGGCAUGCUACGAUUUCCCUUUCUCACCACAUGCGAAGUAUUUAGCAUUCCUGUCUAAUUUCAUGCAGUACUAUCAGUAAACACAUUCCUAAUGUGACUAAUCUGUAUUGCAUACAUUCAUUUUGGAUUGUUCACAGUAUUACUUUAGCCUUUUUUUAUCUCCAUAUAUAUAAAGUAUUGUUAUAAUUAGCCUACCCCAACUUGCUUGGGACUGAAAGGCUAUGUUGUUGUUGUUGUUGUUGUUGUUGUUAUUGUUAUAAUCAAAGCUAACUGCAUUCAAAUAGGCAAAUAGUAUGUAUGUAUGUAUCAUGCUUUAUUUAGUUUUCCUCUGUUGGAUAAUUAUACAGUGUAUAUGUUUAUAAAGGAAACAUACUAUACCAAAACCACCAAACGCAUUAUAGUUCUUUUAUAUACUGUAGAAAAUGGUGGUUUUCGCAAUUUAUGUUAUUUCAGUUCCCAUGUAUUAAAAAGAUGGUUUUCAAAAACUCUGCUUUGAAAUGUUCCUGACAUCAAAACACAUCCUUAUAGUAUUGAUUUCAUGCAUUUACAAAUGAUAAAAAUGGAUCUAGAAAGCAACAAAUUGCAAUGCACAUUGGUGUUGGAAUCGACCAUCUAACAGUGUUUAAUAAUUUUUUAAAACUAUCCAAGAAAAUUGCUUGCUGUUGCACCACAUGAUUUAAACCCUCCGUUUAUGCUUGGCUCAUACGUUGUUAGGUUUACAAAAGAAACAUCUUUCUCUCAGUGUUUGGAUUCAUUAUAAGUCAGGCAGCAGAAAGUCGUGAAGGUUUUGUUUUUUUUUUUCCGAUAACUGCAGCUUAUAGAUGAACUGUAUUGGCAUUGCCAGGAAGGAUAUGAUUGAAAGAGUUGGAGACUCUACUGCAGUAAUUUGCAUUGCCUUGUCAUAUGCUUGAUAUUAAUAGUUCUUUAAGUGACAUGCAGCCCCACCCCCACCAAAUGAUAUGACAGUGAAGCAAGUUGCUGACAAAUUGGCAAGUUUUGUUGCAAAAAAUGGGAGACAAUUUGAGAAUAUCACACGGCAGAGGAAUCCUGGAGAUACACCAUUCAAGUACGACUGCACUACUUAUUUUUCUGAUAAACUCUGUUUUACUUUUAAAUUCUAAAAUCUGACUUUAAUAAAUUAUUGAUAUAAAUCUUGGGUUAUUUGCAGAUUUCUAUUUGACAAACACUGUCCAGACUACAAAUAUUAUGAGUUUCAGCUUGCUGAAGAGGAAAAGGCUCUUGGUCAGUCAAAGGAUGCUGAAGCAUCAAAAAAUGGUUUGUGGCACAAUUUUUUUAAUCAUUUUCUAUAUCUAAAAAUUCUAUAAAAGUCUUGAUGCUAUAUACUCUUGUUAAUGUAGCUAGUUCUAGCACUGCAAGCUUCAAAGCACCAAGUGGUCUGUAUAAAAGCUCAUUUGAACAAAAGUCCAACUAUCAGACACCUGCAUCAGCUUUGUAUGGGGCAUAUGAGGGUAGUUCUUCCCAAGGAAGCUCAUCUAGUUAUGGUAAAAUAUACAUACAUGGUUUCCUUUAUCAAAUGUUAUAUAUCUACAUUCUCUAUGUUCCUGGACUGUUCUCCUGUUUACAUUUGUUUGAGUUUGCAUUUUGCAAGUCAUCCAAAUCAGGCACUUCUAUUGCCUUAGUAUCUUAUUGUUAUUUCUGAUGUCUUGAAUAUUAUGUUUCAUCCUUGUAGCUUCAAUGAAUAGAUAUAUUGUAGGGUUUCUGUUGUGAACCAUUAAAACCCUACUGCCUGUCAUCUCCCUGAUCUAUAGUUUGCUUUAGGAGUAAAAACCAUUGCUUCCUAUCUUGAACUGUUUCUUGUUAUUAUAUGUGCUUAAUGCUAGUUCAUCAUUUUGCAGGUGAUCACAAUACAUCUGCACCGUCAGAUCCUGUAGCUUUGAUGGAAUUCUAUGCGAAAAAGGCUGCACAGGAAGAACGGAAGAGGCCACUAAGACAGUCAAAAGAUGAAAUGCCGCCACCUCCUUCUCUUCAAGGUACAUUUUUUGCAACAUGAUUUGCCGUACUGGAAGAACAUAAAAACUUCAAUAUUUGUUCUACAACUAAUUCUUGUUUUGCAGGUCCUCCUAAGAAGGGACACCACAUGGGUGACUUCAUUCCUCAAGAAGAACUUGAAAAGUUCAUGGCACGCUGUAAUGAUGCUGAAGCACAAAAGGCUACGAAAGAAGCUGCCGAGAAGGCUAAGAUUCAGGCAGACAAUAUUGGCCACAAACUUCUAUCUAAGAUGGGUUGGAGGGAAGGUCAGUCAUUGAUGAAUACUAAAUAACAUAGUCACCAUUACAGUAAUUCUCUGAUCAAACCCUGUCAGAUCUUUUUUCAAAGUCCCAGAUGUUUAUGGCAACAGUACAUCAACCCCUCUGACCUUGACCGUCAUAUUAAUCCAACAAACCUUCAAAUAUUGUCAAAGUAUGCUGUUAACAAAGCCUUCCAUCCCAAAUACCAGAUAUAAGAACUAUUUACAAUGGAUCCUUUUUCCUCAGCAUUGUCCUGCAUGCAUUAAUUCUCAAUAUCCCUACCCGGUGGAACCUUUUUUGUCAGGCACAUAGGAAGGCAAUUAGCGAUAAUAUGCACCAUUCCACUUCCAGGUGUUAAAUAUAAUUUACUGUGCAGGUGAGGGUCUUGGUAGUGAGAGAAGAGGCCGUGCGGAUCCCAUUAUGGCUGGAGAUGUGAAGAAGGAUCAUCUUGGUGUUGGUGCUGUCAAGCCUGGUGAGGUCACAUCUGAAGAUGACAUCUACGAGCAAUACAAGAAGAGAAUGAUGCUUGGAUACCGCUAUAGGCCAAACCCUCUGGUAUAUUUGCUGCCAUUGUCUACUUCCAGGAGUUGUAUGUUAUUUCUGUUUGCCUAAACACUUCUGCUAUUUUUGCAGAACAAUCCAAGGAAACAAUAUUACUGAUACAGGUUAGUUCAUCUAAGAUGUAAGACACCAAUUUUGCUGUAUUUUUGCUCACAUAACUAACAGCUAGGGAGUAUGACUAACAGCAUUGAAAGUUUUUGUUCAUCAGCAGAAAAACUAAGAAGCUCAUUUAGUCAGCAUAUAUCUUGGAAUGCCACAGAUCUGAGGCUUACGGGGGGUUCAACCGUAGCUUUGUUCUUUGUGUAGUGUUGAUCUUUGUUGCUUUAAAUUCACUUCCAUGGUGAUGUGUUGAAACGUGGAGCAUAGUUUCAUAAUGUGAUGUAUUGCCUUCUUGGAUGACAACAUAUCUUUCCUGAUUAUUCAUCUUUUUGUUGGGAUUUAUUGCCGCAAUAUCAUAUUUCCAUACUGGGAGGCAUAAUCUAAAAGUCUGUUGCAAUGGUUCUAUUUUAUUCUGGAUUCUGGAAUUUGAAUAGCUAUGUGGAACGUGAGUGUCGGUACGGAAGCUAUUACUUACUGGCAGCAUAUAACUUGGCGUUAUUUCUGUAGGAGUUAAAAUUCUGUUAUGCUCUCUGCCACUCUGAUGUGCUGAAUUAAUAGGUUACUUUGAUUGUGAUCUAAGCGCUUAUGGCCUGUUGGGCUAAUCUCAGUACACGGUUUUAUUGCAUAGUUACUUAGAUUGAAAAUUAGGUAAUAGUGCUAGAUGAGUAUUAUGGGGAUUAAACUCAUUUCUUGUUUGAUGAAACUAUCUUUAUUAAUUACCUUGCCAAGUUAGCAAUUUUGGUGUGGCAUGAACUCUCGUGAAACAGACUGACCUUACUGUUAUGCUCUCUGCCUCUCGGUCUCGGAUGUGCUGCAUUAAUGGGUGACGUUGAUUGGAAACCACAGUAAGGGAGACAUAAAUUUAUAUUUUAGGAAAAUAUCGUAAAGUUUGCACAAGCGUAUCUAUUACUCUAUAUUAAUGUUGCUAGACUAGACGAAAUCUCAGAGGCUGAGCUACUGUUCACCGACGCUGGUACGUGGGUCCGAAAUCCAAUCAGUUAUGAAAAAAAAAAAAGAAAGAAGAAGAUUCGAGAGUCCACAGGUCUCGGUCCUCCACGACCACGAAGAAUCGGCGAACUCCAUUUGCCUAGCCGCACCUAUCGCCGUUGGUCCGCUCCGCACGCUGGGGCCGCCGGCUCGCUCCGGCGCCCGCUCCCUCGACCGGCGGAUCGCACCGCCGCCCGCUCGAGCAGCCGCAUGCGCCGCCCGGUGGGAAUGUGAGAGCACAUCAGCAACCACCGGCGGCCGUCAACACCACUUGAAUCUUGGCAUGGAGAGAGAGAGAGAGAACAGAGCUGUGCAGCGCAAAAGUCUGGACAACCAACCGAAUCAGGCCACCGGCGUCGGCUCUGCCAUUGCUUCCACUGAUAGACUUCCAGGGCAGUCUGCCACCGUGGCCUCUCACUACCCUCUCUAGAGCAACCAGCAGCGGUGGCUCCGCGCUCACCGAGCCCAAAAAUGAUGGCCUUCUAGCUGCAGGCAAGACCUCAAUCCGCAGGAAUCAAAUUCACUCUCCAAGUCUUUGUAGCUUUUGUGGAUGGAUGGGGGAGAGAGAGACAGAACAAUACGAGAGGCAGGAGAUUGCCAUGGGGAUGACCGGAUGACUAGAUGAAGAGAUAAAGGGCACAGUGCACUUAAAAAAGAGAGAGAAUAGGCCUUUUAGACGCUUUCCUCACUGCCUUUUUACAAAACAGGAGGGAAUCCCUUACUAAUUACUAUAUUAAGCAAAACAAAGAGAAAGUAUGUACAAAAGAAAAGAUAUUUAGAGAAUGAAAGAAAAAUUACAGCAGAGUAUGCAACCGUCGUACUUCAAUGGGAAAAUAGGAUUUCUUUGCUAAAUAAUGAUUCAGAGCAAAUAAAUGCAUAAAAAUCUCUUUCAUCUAGAGGAACGGCAUGAAUUUGAAUUCUGGUUUCAUUCUGAUUUGUUUCCUAAUUUUGUUCAAUACUCAAUACUAUAACAUAUACUUAUAGCAAAGUAGAGAGAUUACAUAUGUAACUCUUUCCGUUAUUGCUUUGAGUUAAUAUUUUUGUACAGGCGCGCAUCGCGCGCCAAUCUAUCUAGUAAAUUUCAUGGCACUUGGUGAGAUACGAAAGUUGACAAGUAGGGCCCAUUCUUGCCCCCCUUGUCUCACCAUCUCGUAUCUCGCGGGUGGCUCACUUGAACUACCAUGUGCUGGGCACCUGAAGCUGAAAUGCUGAAAGCGAAGCGCCCGCCGCCCGCAGCGAUCAGAGCGCCGGUACAGGAAUCUCUCACGCAGUCACGCUGCUGAUCGCCUCCCUCCCCAGUCCUCACUGAUUGCGCUUUGCCUCUGGCCCGGCCGGGGCCCCGGGCCUCAUGCAUGUCCAGUCACGCCCACCAAACGGAACGCAGCCAUCUUUUUGUAAUAAGCACCAAGUUGGCGGCGUUAACAAUGCGGGAUAAUCCGCUGGAUCAUCAUCGGGGACGCUGGCCUGGUUUGAUGACCUGGACGAAUAUCAUCGAGCUACCAAUCUUGGAAGAGAAGUCUGGAGGCGCAUGCUGUCGGGUGUCAGCCUGUCUCCACCGCUGGCCGCCUCGCUGUCAGCUGUACUGCACUGCACCCGGUCACUCAUUCACUGGCCGGUAGGCAAGCUUGAAGCUCAAGUAGCCGCCAUAAGCCUCCAUUGAGUACUCCUGCUGCCCAGGCCUCCAGAUUCGUGGAGUGAUGGUAGUUAACAGGUUACUUCUGGUAGGAAAUCGAAACCAUUCAGGACCAACGCCUGUCCGCUGGCGACAACGAAAAGCCGUUAUGGCGAGCGAUCGAUCCUGGUCUGGUUACAGUAUAAGCGCGCCUGAUUCUGAUGACAGUAGAGCGUCCCAUUCCACCCGUCGUCGGUCUGACUGCUCCUGAACGUUGUCGUUCCACCGGCCCCGAGAUCAUUCCCGGCUGCCUCGCAGCUGUGCGCGCGCUGGCGACCGCCUACCGGCCGCCAUGAUACGAGCCGCGCCGCGGACGUCUCGUGGCGGCCGGUGGAGACUGGAGAGGUGACCUCGAGACAUACCAAUCCAGGAGGCCGCGGUGGUUGGCCACUCGCGAUCCGACCCGCGCGGGUCCCCCCGUGAAGUUCCCCCUUCGAGAUCGCGAGCCAAAAAUAUCGCAUCCCCGGCCGGCCGGCCCAGCUCCAACCUCCAACAGGAAGCAAAAAAAAAAUCAACGGGCUUGUGGCGGUCGCGGUCUCGGGGAUCCGUCGGCCGGAGCGGCCGAACGAUCGCGUGUGGCGGCACGCCGCGCCGGGGACAUGAGGCGUCGGGCCGCGUGGAAGUGGAGGCGUGCGUGCUCAUAAAUGAGCACGCCUAGAAGCGGCCAGGAGUCCAGGACGGCGUGGUCGUCGUGUCACGGGCACUGCGCGCACGCCAGUGCCGUCCAUCACGUACCGUCGGCCGUGCGUUCUCUUUGCAGCGGCACAGUUUGGACACCGGAGGAAGUACGUGACAGGAUUUGGCAUGCGACCACUCGCACCGUACUUUGCAAAAAAAGAUCAAGUAGCGUGGCGCAUUUCGGUUCCAGGCUUGGAUUACUCGCCGAGAUAGGCCGGGUGACAAGAUUAGGCUAGCUAGGGUAUGAAUGAGUGGUCGCAUUUUUCACUUAUGGGUUUUUUAGAUCGCUUCCAGUUCAAAUUAUUCGUGAACCGAUCUAUGGACCGUCGAGAAGUUCAAACUGGAUUCCCAAGUAUUCGAAUCCAAAUCUCGGCGUGGCCGUGACCGUGACCAAACAGCCCAAGUGGGCGAGCUGCUGCUGCUGACCCGGCCGCGCAACCGCCUCCACAUGACCCAGCUCAUCUCAGGCUCUCCGCGGCUGGCACCCCACGUGCCGGCGCUGGCCUGACACCUUGGCGCAUGGGCGCGGCGCCCACCCGGCCAGCUCCGGUUGGGUACACCCGGUCCUUGCUUGACGGUGGAACAAAAACACGGCCGGCCCGGCAGCGUACGCGCUGCUGAUAAAAAGGCUAGCGGCCGGGUAAAUUGUCGCGGCAUUUUGUCGGGUUAGAUCGGUUGAUGGACCCCUGGUGACCUAGCGUCAUAGCUCGUCAUUUAGACAUAGGAAAAGAAGAUCUUCAUAGAAGAAUGUGUUAAAAAAAAGGGAAAAACUCCAUCCUUUUUAUCAGCCGCUUGGAAGCGUGCUACGACAAAUAAAAAAGGAUGGCAAGCGACAGAUAAAAAGGGACGGAGAGAGUAUAUGGUAACAGAGAUGCAUGCUGUUAUGUUUAUUUUGCUACACUAUACCUAUCAAGAUCUUUAUGACAUUUUCGGAGUAAUAAAUGUAACCCUUAUUUUCCAGCUACCAGGUGACUCCUAAAUUUCGAACACAUAUUGUUAUAUUGUUGUACAAGGUUCAUUUUGCUCUUAUGAACCUACAUUGCAAAUUACAAUAGGGAUUUAUGUGUGAUUGUAUGACUUACGGACACAUGCACCAAAGAUUAUUCGAGCCAGUGAUGACCGAACUCACUUGGAUGAGAUGCAAGGGGAAAGAUGAAGUUAUGUUUUGGGGAUUACACCAAGUGUCAUUGUACGGACGAUGUAAACGGCUCCGUGCAGUUUUUUUUUUCUUUGGCACAAAGGCAUCAUCUUGUCAUAGAUAAAAUAAGUGUUUGUUUAAUUCAAGGGUAUGCAGCCUCAACAUUUACCUUGGUUCGUAAGGAUUUUGAUUCAGUUCCAUUCCUGUGAAUGCUUCUUUUUGUUCGAAAAAUUAAAAUGCAGAUAUCGUGCUUAGGAAGAAUACCGGACGGCUGGCAGUAACAAAUCAUACAGUAUUUGCCUUCUAUAAAGGCAGCUGGAGACUGUUCUCCGAAAUAAAUCAUAGCAACUUAGGAGUGUUUGAUACGAGGCGCUAAACUUCAGCAGGUCAUAUCGGAUGUUCGGAUACUAAUUAUAAAAGUCAACACGAGCUAAUUACAAAACUAAUUGCACAGAUGGAGUCUAAUUCGCAAGACGAAUCUAUUAAGGGGCUGUUUGGAUACGAGGUGCUAAACUUUAACAGUGUCACGUCGGAUGUUCGGAUGCUAAUUAGGAGGACUAAACAUGAGCUAAUUGUAAAACUAAUUGCAGAACCCUGUGCUAAUUCGCUAGACGAAUCUAUUAAGCCUAAUUAAUCCAUCAUUAGCAAAUGGUUACUGUAGCACCAUAUUGUCAAAUCAGGGACUAAUUAGGUUUAGUAGAUUCGUCUCGCGAAUUAUACUCCAUCUGUGCAAUUACUUUUUUAAUUAGUCUAUGUUUAAUACUCCUAAUUAGUAUCCAAACAUCCGAUGUGACAGGUGUUAAACUUUAACAGGGCGUUCCCAAACACCCCCCUAAAGCUAAUUAAUCCAUCGUUAACAAAUAGUUAUUGUAGCACAACAUUGUCAAAUCAUGGACUAAUUAGGCUUAAUAGAUUCAUCUCGCGAAUUAGACUCCAUCUGUACAAUUAAUUUUAUAAUUAGACUAUAUUUAAUACCUCCAAUUAGUAUCAAAUAUUCGAUGUGACAUGUGCUAAAGUUUAGUAGGGUAUCAAACACCCCUUCUCUCCUUUCCUCUUGGUAUGUUUAGCAGUUACCCCUGGCUCUUGGCAUCCGUUUCGUCGACGUGCCAUGGUUUAACGGACGGGACGGGGACGGCCGGCUCACGUGAACAACGCCCACGAGGCCGCGCUGGCUCUUGUAAAAGCAACCGCUCCCUCCCUAGACGCUAGUGCCUCUUUCCUCUCUCCUCCGCCCCUUUUUAUCGCCCGAUCUCACACAUUUUGGAAAGAGGAGAGAGAGAACGCCCAGCCAAACAGCCAAGGAAACAAACCGCGGCGAGAGGCGGAGGAGAGGGAGGAAGGAGGGCAGAGGACGAGCAAGAUGAGAGAGAUCAUCAGCAUCCACAUCGGCCAGGCCGGGAUCCAGGUCGGAAACGCCUGCUGGGAGCUCUACUGCCUGGAGCACGGCAUCGAGGCCGAUGGCACCAUGCCCAGGUGAGUGACGAUCUCGAUCCGCGAGUGCGUUGCUUUUGGUUCCCCAAAUUUUUUGCUGCGUGCAUCCGCCUCGCGAUCUAGGUUCUCGGCUUGGGCCGCCUCGAAAAUCUGGCGGGCUCGUUGCAUCUCGUUGUUUCCUUCUUCUCGAGAAAUCCUUGCUUCGGCGGAGCCAACGAUGGGCGGGCGGGUGGGUGUGUUAGAUUGGAUGGUACUGUCAUGGCAGUUCCGUGUUCGUGUCUUCCUUUUCGUUCUACUUCUCGUUGCUCCUUGGCUCCUUGUAAUGGGUUUUUUUGGGUGGGAUAUGUUGCGCUUUGUUGGGCGUUGGUACAUUUCUUUGCCGGUUGUUGAGAGAUUCCCAGCACCGGACGAGAUGCGACAUUUCCUAAUUAAGAGUCUGCCCUAGCAUUUUCGGACUAUUAGGCCUUUAAUUUGGUGCGUUUGUUCUGUUCCUACUAAUUAGGCAGGCGUCACAGAGGGGAUGCGUUUGGCUUUUGUAUAGAGGAGCGCACGUUAACAUGUCGUGGGACAAAUUGGGUUUCCAACUCCGUAAGACGCAAGAUCUGAAGAGUUGAAUCUGUGGGGAUGCUCAAUAAAUAAUGUAACUGGUUAGCUCUGGUGGAUGUCAGACCAUGGAUCUCCCUAGAUUCAAAAUAUCUGGUCCAUUGUUAAAAGUGCUAUGCUUAUCUCAGUUUUGCGUAAUCUUGUAGCGCCAUAGAAAAUUGUGCUGAUGCUACUGAGAAUAGAAAUCAUGUUGGGGAUCCUGAGGAGGCAGGUUACGUAGGCUCUAAUUUAUCUUUUGGCGCAUAUGCCAAUGACUCUUGAUUGCAUUAACUGAGUUAACUGAUUUAUAAGUUCUUACUGUGCGGUUUUUUUAACGCUGUAUUGUUUGAUUGUGAUGCAGUGAUACCUCGGUUGGCGUCGCACAUGAUGCCUUCAACACUUUCUUCAGCGAGACUGGUUCUGGCAAGCAUGUGCCGAGGGCCAUCUUUGUCGACCUUGAGCCCACUGUCAUUGAUGAGGUGCGCACUGGCUCAUACCGCCAGCUCUUCCACCCAGAGCAGCUCAUCUCCGGGAAGGAGGAUGCGGCUAACAACUUUGCCCGUGGCCACUACACCGGUAAUUCACAUUGUGCCUUUGUGAAUAUGUAAUAGGAGUGAGUCUUGUGCUUCUGCGACUGCGGAUAUGUUCGAUUCUAAUUAUGUUUGUGGAAUGCAGUCGGAAAGGAGAUUGUCGAUCUAUGCCUGGAUCGCGUGCGCAAGCUGGCAGACAAUUGCACUGGGCUGCAGGGAUUCUUGGUGUUCAAUGCUGUUGGUGGUGGUACUGGCUCUGGACUUGGUUCACUGCUGCUGGAGCGCCUCUCAGUUGAUUACGGCAAGAAGUCCAAGCUUGGGUUCACCAUUUAUCCUUCCCCACAGGUAUGGCCUUUCCAAGAGGAGGUUGACUUAAGUAUCUGAGAAAUUGAUAAAAUCAAGUAGGUCUUGAAUCUCUAUUGGGCAAUUUGCUUAGGCUUGUAUAUAAUUAAUAUCCUUGCGAACCCACGCUAAGAUAUGGAUCAUGUAACUUGGCAGCGCUGUUAUUGCCUUCUGAAUUGCACAGAUACACUGGUUAUUGGAUCAGCCUAGCAUUAAUUAAAUCAUGUGUGGACUAAACGAGCAACUGUUGUAGACUUCUGGAGUUCUGGUUAGUGAGGAUCUUCCUUUAUAUGGUUAAGACCAUGAUAGCACAACUGUCACAGGCUACAGGCUUUCUUUAUUAGUGUCCCUAUAAAUCAUGCACUGCACAUGAGCCAACAUUAUCCUAUAGUGCUUCUCCCUCCUGUCCAUUUGAUUGUGGGCCAUUUAGUUUGUUCAUGUGAGUCUGCAUCUUAGCUGUUGUGGGGGACAGUGGGUAGAGAUGUUGUUUAAUGAUUUUGGGUAUGGUCCAUCGUUUAACUUUUCAUCUAAUGCCACUCUGGAUUGCAGGUGUCAACAGCUGUCGUAGAGCCAUACAACAGUGUCCUCUCUACCCACUCCUUGCUUGAGCACACAGAUGUUGCAGUCCUCCUGGACAACGAGGCUAUCUAUGACAUAUGCCGGAGGUCCCUUGACAUUGAAAGGCCAACCUACACCAACUUGAACAGGCUGAUCUCACAGAUCAUAUCUUCGCUUACCACCUCCCUGAGGUUUGAUGGUGCUAUCAACGUGGAUGUUACUGAGUUCCAGACCAACCUUGUUCCAUACCCACGUAUCCAUUUCAUGCUUUCAUCAUAUGCCCCUGUAAUCUCUGCCGAGAAGGCCUACCAUGAGCAGCUCUCUGUGCCUGAAAUCACCAAUGCUGUCUUUGAGCCCUCAAGCAUGAUGGCCAAGUGUGACCCAAGGCAUGGGAAGUACAUGGCUUGCUGCUUGAUGUACCGUGGUGAUGUUGUUCCCAAGGAUGUCAAUGCUGCAGUUGCAACCAUCAAGACCAAGAGAACUGUCCAGUUUGUGGACUGGUAAGCUGUCUCCGUCACAAUUUUAGUUAGUUGCACUUAUUUGAUGAUGUCACAAGCACCUGUCCACUUGAUUGGCCAUGCUAACUAACCAAACUGUGGUGCCGCCAUACAGGUGCCCCACUGGGUUCAAGUGUGGUAUCAACUACCAGCCACCAUCUGUUGUCCCUGGAGGCGACCUGGCAAAGGUCCAGCGUGCAGUGUGCAUGAUCAGCAACAACACUGCCGUCGCUGAGGUGUUCUCACGCAUUGACCACAAGUUCGACCUGAUGUACGCCAAGCGCGCCUUCGUGCACUGGUACGUCGGUGAGGGUAUGGAGGAAGGCGAGUUCUCGGAGGCCCGUGAGGACUUGGCCGCGCUCGAGAAGGACUACGAGGAGGUCGGCGCAGAGGGCGCGGACGACGAAGGUGACGAUGGAGAAGACUAUUGAGUAGCUGGUUAAUAAGUAGUUCGCUGGUGGUUAAUGGUUGGGUUGUUGGGUAUACUCUGUAUGGUUCCAUUCCAUUGCGUACUGCUGCCGUGUGUGUUUCCAUUUUGUAUUAUGUGGUAUAAAUUGUUCGUAGCGCCUGGUUGGCCAUGAUUGUUCAUAUCGUCUUGCUUUGGUUUGCAAUGCUAUUCGACGAAUUUCGGUGUAUAUCAGUAUAUGGCAUUCUGUUGCAAGUGUUCUGUGCUCUCAACCAUUGGGGAGUAGUUUGAUCUGCCCCGCGGCGUGUUGUCAGGUGGAUAUCAACCAAUGCAGGAUAUGGUUUGCAGGUUGCUCAUAGAUGCCUGAUGCUACGAUCACUGACCAUCAGUCACCAAUGCAUUUGAGGUGGGCAUGGUGUGUCUGAGCUGCUUGAGCCAUACGCACAGGGUAUGAUGGCAUGUGGAGAUCGCCGUGCACGUCUGGCACAUCCGGCAAGCGCUGGUCGCGCACAUUCCCCCGGUUUGUCCAGACUUGGUGUCGCGACUCGCGAUGCAAGAGGGAUGAUAGGUGAGACAGCUUGGAAAGUGUUUAGAUCUGUGCACGAGAGCCCCGCGACCUGGUGCCAGUCGAUGUGGGUUGGUUGGUUUGGCAUCUGGUAGGUUUGGUGGCCUCAUGACGCUUUAACUUGGGAUGUCUCGUUCAGGAUCUCAGAAUUAUGAUGUGUCGAAGAAGCAUAAGGCCGGGUAAAAGUUGGAACUCACCCGACGAGCGUGAGUGCGUGACCCUGGAGUUUCAUUAUCGAAAAAAUUAUCUGGCGGACUUCCUGACCCGCCAUGGAUUCAGGCCAGGUAGGCAGCAUCAUUGAAGUACUACCAUCUGGAGCAAGAGUCGGUAGGUUUUCUGCAGAUCAGCAGAUGUGCGUCCCAGUAGCUAUGACUCCACUGGAGCAGAAGCAAAUUGAGCCCAACCCGGCAGCCCCAAGAAAAAAAAUUUGGGCUGGGAAAUUGGGUUGCCGGCAAGGCCUUGUUGCGUGACCAGACUCCGGUCCAAAGAGGUGGCAUUACAAUCACCUCCAAAUAACGUAGCUUAGCUGCUCUCCAAAAAAAAAAAAAAAAUAACGUAGCUUAGCUAGCUUGCUGACUGACGAUGCCAUGGUUACAAAAGAUGCCAUGGUUUGAUUUGAUGACAACAAUGGAGCCGUUGCCGAAGAUGGAUCCACUCGAGCGAGGGCACAGGCCGCCACUCAGUUUUUCUAAUUUCAAUGGACUUAAAGCUUAUCUAGUAAAGUUAUAAAGGCACACAUAUUAAAAUGCCGUCACUCAUUUUUUUCCAACUAGAUCCGCCAGCUAUGGUGUCACGGAGGAAUUGCCACAAAGACGAACAUCCAAUGUGUUGGGGGUUGUCGGAUGGGAGAGAAUUUCCCGCAUAUUAUUGGAUGCAUGGACAGAAGUUCCCACCGUUGCGUGAGUGCUGACACUACGAAAACUGACACCGCCCAUGCAGCAACUUGCAUUGCGUUGGUUAGAGCAACUGUUCCGUUCGUUGCCAUUUUGUUCCCUCCUCCGGCCUGUUUAAACUAGCAAAGCAUAAGUAGCCAGGGGGGAUCAACUGCAUCUGCCGCCUGCCGAUAACACGGCCGAGUCACUCACAUGGAGGAGUUCUGAUGCUUUUGCCCACCCUGCUGAUUCCUGAUCCCUGAAUAUUAUCGCGUGUCCAGGAGUUCCGGGACCCAUUGCUCACCUGCUCCGCUAAAAAAAAGUUGCAAAAAAAAAUAAAAUAAAUGGCUCUCCCCUCCUUGUCCUCGCAUUCCCGUUUGUUUCUGCCGCUGUCGCGAGCGCUCAGCACAAACUUUCUCUGCUCAGCUCUCGUGCAGGCUGGAGUUGAAGUGCUGAACCAUCGUCCGCGAGCUGCAACCGAGCCAAAAACCAGGAUCGAUGGGAUCGGACUCCGUUGGACGGGCUCGAUUGGAAGUGAAAGGUGAUUGGGGGGGCCCGCGACGACAAAAGCUUGGUAAAUGUGCCGACACCUGGCAGCGCGGCGGCAUGUUUGGCUCAAAUUUGAGCGCUCCAACCCCAACAAGGCAGGCUCGGGCUUAUAUAACCUUGGGCCCCAGAGAACGCGCCAUAACCUGCAUUGAUCGUGCACCAAUCCUCGAGGGAAGUUCGUUUAGCGAGUUCUUGGAUUUCCCCGUUGGAGGGACAUAUCCAAAUCUUAAUUUUUUUUACGGGAACGCCAGGGAAGGCCCUACCCUAUUUUUGUUAUAUAUAAAAAGCAAUAUGUACAGUCUACAAGGCUUCAGGCUCAAGGUAAAAAAGAGAGAGUUCACAAGAGGCUACUCAGCCAAAUAUUAAUCUUCUGACUAAUGGAAGGUUUUGCCCUAAGGCCCCGUUUGGGUUCAAGGAAUUGGAAUCUAUUUAAUGGAGUAGGCUAAUUUAUGUUGGAAUGUGGCAUUCCACAACUUUCCAAAGUUUAGAUAUAAGCCUAUCUUAAAUUUAUGGGGUGGGAGAUGGAAAUUGAUUCUAUAGAUUAUGGUUAUUAGAUGGAAUUCAAUUCUUAUAGCACGCUCUUAGACUCGCUUCUCUACAGUAGAACUGCAGCAUACAAGUAUCUCUCCCAUAUCACCAACUAUAAUAUACAACUAUAUUCCACAUACAAUUAUAUUAACUUAAUUAAUUUGUGUCUAAAUUAUGAUUAUUAGGAUGGAAUUCAAUUCCAAUGAUCCAAACGGGGCCUAAGGGUAAACCUUUUCUAGCUCCGCUACAAAAACAAGCUCUCCAGCAGCUGAAUGAUAGAGUACCACCAUCAAAGAUUAUGCUGUUCCUGUGACACCAUAAGGCCCAUGACGCAAUUAUCACAAUCUCCCUAAAAAAAUACUGGAUGCAAACCUCUCCCGUGCUCUGUCAAGAGGUUGGAGGCUGAGGUCCCAUUGAAUGUCCAAAUACAGCGAACAGGCCUGGCUGAAAAGGACAGUAAAAGAAUAAGUGACUGAUUGUCUCCUCUACAUUCUCAAUGCACAAAACACAGUUGUAGCUAUCCAAGUACAUGUUCCUUCCAUGUAGGAGGUUUCUGAUGUUAAGCUUAUCACGAAGGAGGAGCCAGAAGAAGAACUUGUGUUUGUUUUGAACCCUAGACUUCCACAUCUAUUUGAAGAGAGGGGAGGCCCGUAUAGAACCCUGGAGGCUUUUGUAAGCUGUUUUGCUUGUAAAGACUGCAGAUCCCCAAAUAUAAGUCCAGACAUCAUUUUGCAAAUCCCCCAUGUGCAAUUGGUCUAAAAGCUGCUGAAGUUCAGUCAGUUGGGCAGCAGCAAUCUGAGCUAUUGUCGGAGGCGAUAAACUUUCUGACCGAAAUAGAAUUUCUCUUUGAGAAAGAGGAAAGCUGCGGAAAUCUCCAUUUGAGCACACCUAAGUCUUAGAGAUCAUUCCAGAAGGCAACUGAGUUUCCUUUCUGAGCAUUGCAAGUAGCUAUCAUGGAGAGGUUUUGCGCCAGAGAUAUGAUGUCCUUCCACCAAAAGGAUCCAACAUUCUGCCUUUCAAGGGGGAGUACCAUUCUUAUACAACCACUGCCAUGUGAGAUGCACCCAGGGUAUGUCCACUUUAUUAUAAAAUUUGUGAAGAAAUUUGAGGAGAAGCGUAGUGUUGUCAGUCCUUACUCCUUAGGUUGAUAAUGCCAAGACCACCAUCUUCUUUGCUCCUGCAAGCAUGCUCCAAGCCACCAAGCAACCACCCUUUUUGUCAGAUCACCACCAUUCCAGAGGACAUGUUUGUAGUACUUGUCAAUUUUGUCCAAGAUUUCCACAGGUAUCUUUAGAGCACACAUGUAGAAGGUGAGCAUAACUGAGUAUAUAGAAUUUACAAGAAUUAACCUACCAGCAUAAGAUAGCAUCCUUGAUGUACCCAUGAGGUGCUUUUCCAUACGUUCAAGGAUAGGCAUGAAAUCCACUACCGAUGUCCGAGUGGUUCCAAGAGGAAGACCGAGAUAAGUGAAGAGCAUGCUUCCAAGCUUACAACCUAAGGUUUCUGUUAACUCUGGCCAUUAUUUUGAUUCCUCCACAUUAAUGGGUACCAGGAUAGAUUUGUGGAAAUUUACCUUGAGACCAGUGGAAGUGGCAAACGUAUGAACUUUUUUGUAUAUAAGAUUCAAAUCUUAACUUUGAAAUACCAAUCUCAUUUGAUUAGUUUUGGACGAAAAAAUCAUACUACUUCGACCUUCUUUAGCAAGGCUCUACUUGGCUUUGGCUCCAGCUCUUUGCUACAGUGAUCGAUACUGUGCAACACCAUUUUGAGCUGUAGCGUGAAACCAAAACGCAAAACGAGGAGUAAAAUGGACUAAGGAGAAGAUAAAGUCGGUGAAGCAAGUUUAUUGGACUUCACCGGCUUCAUGCUACAGUGAUGAACAAUACAUGAAAAGUGCUAGAGCUGUAACCGAAGCCACGCCAAAUGCACCCUUAGAAUCUUAGCGUACAGGUAAUCUGACGAGAAACUGAUCCCUCGUCUACAGCCACAAGGCAAUCAGCUAAAUGCCUGUGAAAAUUGGCAAGUUUUGAGCAACACAUAUCCAUUGAAAUGGGAUAGAAAUUGAAAUAUAAACUCCAUUCCGCUUAUAUACCAGUGAUGACUGACGACUACCUCUUCUCCACACUCCAUUUUUAUGUACUUAAAAAAAUUGAAUGGAGGUUCUUCAAAAAGAAAUUGAAAUGCAGAAAAGAAUUUGAAUGAAGAAGUCUCAGACGAAAAUUUCUUUUUUUUUAGACGAAAAGUUUCUGCUACCGAAAAUCUUCAGAAAAUUCGAGUGCCGGAAAUUUGCGCAAGAUUUGAGCAACACUGGCGAUCUAAUCGACCGUCCUGAUCAAAUGUUCGUGGAAAAGGGAAGAAAUAAAAAUUUCUUCACCUAGAGAUAUUAGAUCCAGAGGAUCGAACUACACCGAAUUUAUCUCCACAAAGGGUACACCAAAAGAAUUGAAUUCCGAGAUCAGGUGCCAUUAUGCAGCUCAAGAAGAGAUACUACAUCCUGAAAAUUGGAAUGCACAAUGACUUGCUUUGCCACACGGCAAAAUUCGAAGCAUUUUCGCACAAAAAUGCAUCCACUGGCUACAACGAGUAGGAUCCUCGAUCUUCGUCUUCCUCUUUACACCGCGCACGCACACAUACACCUGACACCUGUUACUUCCCCGACAAUGGCCAACAUCCAGGAGGCGAAAGAGCAAGAACGACGACGCACGCACGCAGUUGAGGUGAGGCUAGCUACUAGCUCAGUGGCAGAGCGGCGAGAGAUCCCAGAGCGGGUCGCAGGCGGAGGCGUCGAGCACCCGGUCGAAAUACUCCUGCAGGCCGUUCAUGGCGUACAGCGACGCCGAGAUGCGCCGCUCCACCUUGAUCCGCUCGAACUCCGCCAUUUCGCCCGGCGCCGCGGUGGCGACCGGCUCCUCUUCCACGGGUGCGGCUGGGACGGCGGUGUCGACAGCGGCGAAGCUGUCCAGAGCCGGGAACUGGCCGAACGCCGAGUCGAACAUCCAAGAAUCGAACUCUUCGGCGCCCACGGCGGCGAACUCCGGCCGGUACACCUCACUGGCGUCCAGCGCGCCGCCGCCGCCAUUUAGCACGGCGUCGUCGCAGCUGACUGCGCUGCUGGAGCUGCUGCUGCUGCUGCUAGAGCCACCACAAGCACUAUUCGUGCUAUUACUAUUAUUAUUGCUAUUGCUAUUGCUAUUGCUAUUGCUCGUGGUGGGAGCAGGGGAGAUCGCCGCCUUCUUCUUCGAGACGGCGGCGGCGGCGGCCGAGGAGGAGCUCGCCGCGGCGGCCUUGGCCUUCUUGACCUUCUUGUGGUGGAGGAGGCCGCGGAUGCGGACGGCGAGCGGGCAGUCCGGGGAGAUGCGGGGCGCGAAGUUGGUGCGGGCUUCGUUGCCGCGGAGGAGGCGGGCGGCCUCGUCGUAGGCCUUGGCGGCGGCCUCGGCGGUCUCGAAGGUGCCGAGCCACAUGCGGAUCUUCUGCGUGGUGUCCUUGAUCUCGGCCACCCACCGCCCCGACGGCCGCUGCCGGACGCCGACGAACUUGCUGUGGUUGUUGCUGCCCUUCUUCCGGCCCCGCGGCUUGGACGGCUUGGCCUGCGCCGCCGCCUCCUGCUGGUAGUAGUAGUAGUAGUAGCUGCUGUAAUCCUCGAGCUGGAACCCUGAUGACUGCGGCUGGAAGUGGAGCUCCAUUGGAGGCUUUCUUGGUGUUCGAGCUGAUGGUUGGAGUGGUUGGAGGGGAGAGGAGGAAGACAGGUGUCGAUCUGCCGGGUGCUUGCUCUGCUUUGGUUUUGGUGGUGAGCAGCUGAGCACAAGGGGAGAGGAUUUAUAGAGGAUUUCAGGUCACUUGGCAAUGGAGCCCUGUGGGGUUACUGUCAUGGGCUGGUCAAAUGCUGGUCUGCCUAUGAUCAUGUGAAGUGAGUGUUUGGGGGAUAAGGCAUCUUGUUGGGUUCUUUUUGUCCUUUCAGUUUGUUUUUCGGCUUUGCCCUUAUGCAUUGUCACUGAGCAAACAAAGCUAAGCUGGUGUUCUUUCCAUGAUUAUUUUUUUAACUAAGUUUGUGCUAUUGCUGGAUCAACAAAUCGGUGAGCUUGCAGCCAUAGUGCAUCACCACUCACCACUAUUUGACCUUUUGGCAUUUUCUUUCAUUACUAUAUAUCAUAAGAAAGAUAAUCAUUUUACUUUUGACUCAGUACAGUGGAAAUUCCUUUUUCAAUGUCUCAAAGGGUUCAUGCCUGCAGGCUGCAGGCAGCAAGCACACUAGAGUUCAGCAAGUACAUGCUCCCCACUACAAUGCCAAGCACCGAGUAAAACUUGGAAGCAGGGGUCAGAGGGUCUACUUCAUCUAGUAACUUAAAUUACCAUGUCUACACCUGCAUGCAUUACCUUAACCGAAAUUUUUAGGACACUGAUUGGACUAGUUCUUCCAUAAUUCGCGGUUAUCCCUCUGGUCAAGCUACUUACAUGAGACCGGGUCCGAAUUGCACCAUAACCCGCCACAUGGCAGCAUUAGAGAGAAUGGCGACGAGCAAUUAGGAUACAAAGUAGAAACGGCUAAACAUCACCUUUUCAUCGACCACGCCCACUUGUGCUUUGUUUAUCUUGUUUCUUGACAAAAGCUGCUAUCAACCAAGUCUUUCUCGUCACUGGAUGAUGUACUCGUCCUUAGCUAGUUCAAUUUUGGGCGCCCAUGAGUUUUUGAAAGAAUCUUUGCACAGAUAGCAUAUGAAUAUCAUACAAAACAGCAGCCCGAAUUGUUUUCCGCAGUAAUAAAAUGCUUACUACCAAGCAUUAGUACUUCAACACAUCACAAAGAAAGUGUUACUUUGACAUGGACACGAGUGCCGGAAUCCGACUUCCGACUAGGGUUCGAUUCUUCGACUAGGAAAAACUUUAUUGAAAAUAGAUAAUGGUUAUUGUCUCUUCGGAGACGUCCAACAAAAUUACCGGGCGUAUGAAUGAGUACCGGAGUCCAACUCGGAUUUGUGAAUUGGCAUGGGAGUUGAGUAACACACACAAGAUUCUAGAUCCAGAUAUAUGAUAGCAGUUUUUCACUUUUUUGGAAGUUCCCUUUGACAUGGAAGUUGAGCUAACAGUUGACCACCCGUUCAGGCCUUCUUUUUGCAGAAUGAGCACUUGAGGAGUUCAAGGUAACAAUACGUCAAUAACUGGAGUGUUAGCGUUAUGAUUUUUACACUAGGAGACAAAUCUAAACCCUGAAGCAUCUUUGCUUUACCUUUGAGAAUAGCAACAAUUCUCUAGCCGGUUGAAACUGAAGCAAGCAUGAUGGCAAAGGCUUUCUUGAUCUCUCGGAACUAAAGAGACGGCACUGCUAGUUUAAUGAAACAGGUCUUCUCUUUGCAUACCACAAUGUACUGUUAGGAUUAACAAAGCUACAUUCCUUGGUAAGCAACGGGCAUAUUUUCCCUUCAUAACUUGAGAAAAGGUCAUCGUCAUGACUCAUGAACACGGACCCCUUCAACUCCAAAGGCUUGCCUACCUCACCUAUCAAAAAGGCAAACUUUGUCAAAUUGUGGCGCGUCAUUCCACCAAAUAAACUAUGUUCAGCUUGCUGAUUGAGCAAUAGGAUAGAGCACCCACAUUGGCCAUAGUUUUAUAGUCAGGAUGACUCCAAGAAGGCUAUGGCUCGUAACCUCUUGUUUCGUAGCAUGGCAGAUGCCCUGUUUGUCGCUGUCAAGGUGCAUUUCUUUGUCGAGCUCGGUGGGGCUACCUGCGCCAACAUGACAAGAGACCACUUUUUGGGCAGCAGCAAGGUCAAGAAAGAUGGCAUCUUGGCAUCGGUCCCGGGGGUUGGUUUCAGAUUUGUCUUUGUGUGAUGGAGCCGCCAUGGAGCAGGAGGAGAUGGACAUAUUCCAGCCGUGUUUUGGGAGGUAACCCUCUCGCGACCAAUUCUAGCUCAUUGCUGACGUCAAAACUUUUCGCAGCGAAGAUUAUCUGAAAGCUACCUUUGGAAUUUUUUUGCCAUUGAUUCCUUUACGGUGACGAAUGCACCUGCUAUGUGGUUGUGUACUUCUAUUGAUUUGUUGAGAAGAAAACCCAAACAAGGACUAUCUGGCUAUAGGGAGCUGGGACGAUAAACAAAAGCAGCAUCGUAAUGCAUGCUCCUUCAAAUCUAGAAAGAACAUGAUACGGCUGCAUAUAUCUAAAACGAUUUCGGUUGGGGCUGCCAUUUCCAGCUCCCCAGCCGUCGGGAAUCUUCAAUUCCGCCGCAGAUUUCUCGAUGCCACUCGUAUGAAGACAAGGCCGCCAUGCACAUGUGCGGGCAUAUCAACGUUCAACGGAUAGAAUCGUGAAGUUAUUUUUCUUUCAACACAUGUUAAGGUAGCAAAUUUCGGAAGCCACACAAAAGGUAAAGCCACGUUCAAACUACCAUCUGUUCGUAGUGGCUUUUUAACUCGAUGCCAUGCUCGACGGCUUUAACACAAGCUGGUAAACGUUUCGUUUUUCUCAAUUACUAGCCACGGAGCAUGCACAACUUCAGCAUUUCCAAACUGGGCAUAUCUCAAAAGUUUGCAAGAAAAAAUUGGCAAAUAAAAUGACUACAAUUAACGGGCAUCAAAGCGAUGCAGAAGGCAAUCUCACUCAAAGUACAAUGAUCUCAUUACCAAAACUGAUGCAGCAUAGGUCCAACCCAACCGACAACAAACCUCACCAUUUCCCUUACACCUCUGUUGCCAGCACGUCUCAAAACCAUAUUUUGAGUACAUGACAAUAUACACUCUACAUCAAAACCAUGUAUGCAACUUCCAAUUCCUCCAAGCGACCGAUGCAUUCACAAAUUACCCCACCCAGAAAAAGAUUCAACACAAAAGAAUUGCCUGACAGUAACAAUGAUGAAAUAUCAAGAAGAAGAAAAAAUGCAGCCCGGACCUUGCAGCGGCAAAAAACAACUAUGUCGAUAAGAUGGACUGUAGCAGGAGCUGCUGCUGCGGUUGCAAGUUGGAAAAUGUUGACGCGAGAAAAUCUGGAGGUAAAGUCUGCUGGAAUCGCCUCAAGAUAUUGACCAUCUUGUUUUUUGUUUCAUCUGUAGCAAGCUCUGUCCCAGGGCACAAAACCUGCAGAUUGUACAAGGACAAUCAAUGAGUUCAUCCAUAACAGUUAAGUCAAACAUAGUUAUCGCUACAAAUUUACAACCCUACCAAAUUAGAGUACACAUAAAAAAAUUACCUCUGCAAAUAUUGAAAUAAUUUUCAGAAGAUACUGAUUCUGAGGGCCAAGAAUUUCUCCAUCCGACCUGCAAGCAGAAAUGGUUAUUAUAAACCGCAAAUGGGAUCCACCUUAGUUGGCAGAUUUCCAGUCAAGAACAUACCUCUCCACCAUUGAGCAAAGUUGCUCAUGUACAACUUUAGCUUCAAUCUUAUCAUCUUUUAUAGGCAAGCAACUAAGCCAUGCUGGAAUAACCUGAGAAGACUGUAUAGGUCAGUUUCAAAAAGUAUCAUCCACAAGCACAAAUAACUAUCCCCUGGCAAAGCUACAAGUGCAAAAUUAGGCUUCAGACACCACGCAGUACAGUUAGAAGCUGAGAGGUGUUCAGUUUGAGAAAUGGGUGGUCCAUCAGACCAUAACCUUCUCACUCCUCACAUUUUUGUUUGGUUUGGGAAAUAGGAUGAGUUGAUCCAUCACCACCUCAUCCCAACAAGCACAUGGUUAACUUAAUAAUGAAGAAUUGGCUUAACCCACCAAAAUUCAUGGGAUGACUCCAUAGACCAUUCCAUCCUAGACGAGAAGACUCCUCAAACCAAACACCCUAUUAGGGUUUCAGUGUGUCCCUUGCUCCUCACUCUCAGUGUCCACGCUCUCAGUCUCAGUGCGGUGAGAAGAAAGGAGAAAAAGGGUUGACCCUUUUCAGGAAUGAAAGAGUUACAAUCAGCACCGUCUUAAGAUUUUCAAUUCCAGAUUUCAGGCUUCACGCUGCUAAGCCAGCCUAGUACUGUGCCUCAGCCUCCAAGAGCAGGUACACCUUCCUAUUACCCCCCCUCCUUCCCACAUGAACUACUGCCUACGGCACACCGAGCAAUUUCUGGAAACAUGCCGUCACAAUCGGUAGGCAAUAGAUACAACCUCCAAAUAUUCAUCCAUUACCAACAACUAAGCCCUUGUCUCUAGCAAGUUGGGGUAAGCACAUAACAAGAAAAUGUUGGCCAUAUCAUCAGAGGAAAAAAAAAGACAUUGAGAAUAGAGCAUAUACCUGGGCCGCGUCAAUGCCAUCCCGAUGAAAUUGACAUAUUUUUCCAAGUGCCGAAACAGCAUUGUCAUAGGCCAUAAUAUUGUCUGGAAGUCGUGCUUCAGGAUGUCGGAUAACAUUGUUUAACUUUGAUAGGGCCUCUGAAUUCAGAAGCAUAACAUGGUUGGAUUAGUUGUAGAAUGUUGAAAAAAAAGCAAAACAUGUAAAUACUGGAAAUAUAAAGAAACUACCUCCAACUAGAGGGCGAAAAACAUGACCACCAAACUCAGCACAUACACCCACACCAUAGACAGCAGCCUAAAUGAAGAGGUCCAGCAUUAUAUCAGUGUCCAAUGAGACCGAGUAAAACGGGAGAAUGGGUCAAGGGAACAUGAUAGAACAAAAAACAGACCUGCCGGACAUCUGAAUUUUCAUCGUUUGCUGCCUCCAAAAGGAAAGGAAGGUAUGUAUCAUAAUACCUCAAAGCUGAUUCACGGCAUUGCUCCGCAACAUCAUCAAAGAUACAGAUAGCUAUCCUUCUCUCCUCGGGUGUUUUAUCUUUUCCCUGCGAAUCAAAACAUAGGGUACCAAAAUAAGUAGGAAUAAAACAUCAAACUGAAAAAAAGGUUGGAGCAUAACACUGCACAACAGGAAUAAGCAUGAAAAAACAUGCCAAUAACUAAUGAGAAGAAACCCAUUCGAUUCAUGUACAUAAACUAGCAUGCAGUAACUGAAUGCUCAAUAAAUAACAAUAGAGAGCUCACACAAAUAAACAAUCAGGUCAGGGUUCAGUUAGCUUACCAACAUUGGCGUAAUGUACACAGAGAGCUCAUCAAAGAACGGCAAGAAAGAAGCUUUGAAGGUUUUAAUCAAAGUUCCAAGGCACUCGCUGACCUGAAAGUUUAAAUAUGUUAAAAGAAAAUUAAUAGGUAAAUCAUUUAACAUAACAUGCCAAAGACAGUUUUCUCAGUAUGACAAAACAGAUAAAACUUCAAAUCAUUUCAAAACAAACAAACCUGAUCAAAUACUUCCUCCUCCUGUUCAUUCUCUUCUUUGAGUAGCUCUCCUUCAUCAGCAUCAAAAUCUUCCGCUUUUGUUCUUUCUGUACGUUCCCUUUUCCUGGUUGCGCUGGCUAUAAUGACAUUUUUAAUCUCAUCCGAAAUAGCUCGUACUUGGGUUUCAUCGAGCAAACGACCAGAAAGCUGCUCAUGAGUGAUCAAUGGAAAAUUGAGUCAUAAAUAAACCAUUCAAGAAAAUAGAAUAUUUAAAAACCCAUGCGAAGAGAAACCAACAGAACUAUAACACAUAUUCUUUCACCCACUGAACAUAGUGAAAUGAUCCCUUUCUUGUCUUUUUGUGGUUAUAAAGUGAUAAUCACGGGCAAGCACAUGUUCACAUAUGCAGAUGCACAGAUUUCAGAAUUGUAAAAGGAGCAAAUCUGCGAGCACAACUUUCAGAUAAAAUCUGCGUGCACUUUAUAAGUUUCAUUCUAACUAGACAACUUUCAGAUAAAAUAUGCUAAGAUAUACUUAUUUGAUAACAUAGGGGUAGGUUAGGAAAAAAAAGUGAGGUCCUAAAUAUACAAGUGAAGCUUUAGGAAGAAUCUCAAUCAUGGAUUCAAAUUAUGAAGCAUAGAUGGUGUAAAUGCACAAACCUGCAUGCACUCAUUUAAUGAGUCCAGCAUGGAUGAGCACAUUUCUGUUUCUGGCUCCUGCACAAAGGACGCAAAAAGUUCAGGUGUCAGCAUGGGUAAAAGAAAUAAUAAUUCAACUACUGAGAUAUCUUUAAAUAGACCUUGUGAAGUGCUUCAACAAGAGCUGGAAUUACGUAGUCAGACAACUGUUUAACAUAAGACUCGUCACGGCCUUGAGCCUGUCCUUUCUCAACAGCCAACUUUGCCGAACGUAAGAGUUCCGGCAUUGCUGCACAGAUGUUCAGAAUUGUAAAAGGAACAAAUCUGCAAGCACAAAUAAAUCAUAGUGUAACAUGAAAAUACCCGCAACAGCAGCUCUUCUGACUUCUUCAUGGAAGUAAAACUUCAGCAGAGGGACCAACGUGGGGGCAACCUACACGUAAAUUUGUAUCCAAUGAUAUAUGCUGGAAAGGGGCAGCUGAAACUUGAAAGAAUUAGAUAUUGGAUAUGUUUAGUGCAAUAAUGAACCUGAUCAAUCCAUGGGAAGAAACCCUCCUUAAGCUCAUCAGCAUAACAGCACAGCAUGUUGCAAGCUGUUGCUUUCUCUUCCAGCACACUAGUUCGGAUUCCUAUUCUCUUGUCACCAAGUGUGAUUGUUUCAAUGCUGUAUAAAACACAAAUUAAGGGUAAGGGUAAGUGUAAAAAAAAUCAUACAAAGUUAAAAGUAGGAUGCUCUCCUUGUGUCAGCAGAAAGGUGAAUGAAUAGCAAAAGCUUGGCAUCAUCAAUGAAAAAAAACAAAACACAUGAAAAAACUCCAUAAAUGACAGUGUAAAUGUUCUACCGACUAUAGGCACAGUAAAUCUAAAAGCUUGUGUACGGUUCAUAUCAUUUCAUACUGCAAAUAAGUUUAAAAUUAGAAUGCUAAACUGAUGAUUUUGCAGCUUAAAACGAAUUUCUUCUAAAUUUUCUCCUUUGUACAUUCUCCUGGAUACUUCAGAUACGGGCAUAUAAAAAGUCAUUUAAACAAAAAAUUGUACAUUCUCCAGGAUACUUCAGAUACGGGCAUAUAAAAAGUCAUUUAAACAAAAAGACAAGCAUCAACCAUGGAAUUAAAAAGAUUCCAUAUUUGCAACUGUACAAGAGCGAGAAAGGUAUAGAUAUUUCUAAGUGGAAAUAGUCCAACAUAGUUGUCAGGUUUGCUAACCUAAAUCUCUAAUAAAGUAGAUAAAACAUUGCAACAGAAUGAUAACAGACCUAUCGUCAUCUGAUUCUAUUUCGUCAUCUGAUUCGGCUGAAGUAAUUGUCACAUCGGGCUUCAGCUGAGCAGACUGAAGCAAUGGUGGCAUAACAACACUCAUGUAAGGAAGGAAAUCCUGCCCAAGACAUUUGCAUAGCCUGGCCCAAGCCUAUCACAUGUGGUGGUAAGUGUUAGAUAUAUAUUUGAAGUGUUGUUAAGCCUAGUUUCAGAUGCUUUGAAACAUACCUGCAACAUGUAGCUGGUAAUUGGAUCAUCAGUUUCCAUUGGUGUUCCUUGCAAAGCCAUAAGUACUUCCAUAACCUAGUAAAGGGCAGAUGAUUAGAAUAAUAACACUUCCUCAAUUAAAUAAAAUAUUACAGCUGAUUGCACAUUUAGACUUAAAAGUGCAAGAAGAAGAAAUGACAGCCAUAAAUAAUGAUUUUAAUAAACAGAAAUAGACAUAAUUUUUCUGAAUUCCGAUAAAUUAGCAGGAAAAGCUUGAACAGUGAAACGGUUCAAGAAUACGAACAGUGGUUACAGAUCAAUCACAAAUUAUUUGCAACAAAAUAGAAGUACAUAAUUUGCAAGCUGGAACAUAACAUUACAAGUGAAAGAAAAGGCUAACCUGCCUCGCGUCGUCUCUGAACUUGUCCUUACCCACAGCCAUUCCUACCAAACUAAUACACUCCAUGGACUUGGCACGGAGCAUCCUAUUAGACUUGUCAGUUGCAUUCAUCAAAAUAGCUUUUAGGUAUGGCAUGACAGCAUCAUAGUAUUUCUUGAAGUGCUCCUGCAAGGCAAACAAACAAAAAGUUAUCAUAAUGCUAUCAGCUUGUUAUCAACAGCAGGCAAGACAGCACUAAAACAAUUUGUUAUAAUUGGUCAGCUAUAAAAAAGUUAGUCAAAUGCUAUAAAUUUGUUAAUAGGUGCUUCUGCCACUCAGGAGCAGACAAAUAAAAAGUUUAGUCAAAUGCUAUAAAAUUGUUAUCAUUACCAAGCUAUACAGCACUAAAACAAUGAGACAACCCCAUGAUACAUGUGAUACAUGACAACAGAAAUCCAUUAUGCACAUAACAAAAAAAAAUGUAUCUAUGCACUCCCAGGCGAACAGUUACCUGUGAUGAAUCUGCCACUGAAGCUAGGGCUGUCAAUGCUCCCUCUUGCACCAUUUGCUUGCCAUUCUAGAAAUAACAUGAGAAGUUAGCAUGUUUACUACCCAGAAUAACGAAUAUGCACAAAGCAAAACUGAAAUGUAAAUCAAUACAAGUAAACAUAUACCUGAAGAAGGACAAGUAAUUUGUUGACGAUUCCAUCCAGGUAAGGUGUCAAAAUUUCCGGUGUACAGUUCUCACUGAAGUUCAGGAUCGCAGAUGCAGCAUGUGCCUGUCAACAAGAAGAUUCAUACAGGAAGUCAAUAUAGGUUGCUUUUUCCUAAGAUGCAUGACAUAAUAGAUGCACAUGACUUCUGAUUGAGAAUAGAGACAUAAAGAGUUGCGUAGACUUAGCAUCUCAAUAAACGCAAAACACUUCAACAGCGUUCAAUUCAAGAGUCUUAGUUUUCAAAAAGAAAUGAUAAAAUAGUCAAAGUUAAUCAAGCAUCUACAAAAUGCUACCUUCUAGUAACAUUUACUUGUAAUGGUGAUGAUGGACUUACUAACUUGCCAGGUGAUUAAAUUACUAUUUAUUAAAGAAAAUUAUUAGCUUGAAGCUAAAUAGAACUUCGUUUUUAGACAUUCAUAUGUGUUAACUGCCCACAACUAUUUACAAAGUUUUGUUUCAGUAUGCACGAACAAUAACUUUCUUGAUCCACAUCAAGCCAAUUGAUGCAACAUUAAUUCUAAAAUAAGCAUUAACAAGUUGAAGAUAUGAGAUCAAGUUUUGCUAAAAUAAUAGAACUAACCUGAACUCGUGGGUUCUGGAAAUCAUCCAUAGCGUUCGCCAAUGCAGGCAACACUUUCUGGUGGUAAUGAACUUGCAAGUCUGGGCCCAAAUCCGUAGAGAGCUGACCAAUGGCAUUGAUUGCAGCCCAUCUCACACGUGGGUGAGGAUGUUGGAACCCAUUCAAUAUCAUCGAGACAACUUGUUCCAAAUUUUUAAGCAUAACCUGCCAGCAAAAACAGCAACCAAUGAUAAGAUGGCCUUGUCCAGCUAUUUUCCUAAACAUGAAAUCGAGAACAGAUAGCAUAAUGUGGUUUAAUAGUAGCCAACAGCUCUUAUAGAUUUGGCAAUUUAGUAUUUGUCACCGCUUCUACAUGUAGUGUUCAUUAUCCCAUUUUCCCAAUUCCUAAUUCAACAUGUCAGCUCAAGAAAUCCAUUUUACCUAUCCAAAACAGCAACACUAAAUAUCUUUUGAGUUGAACAAAUUGCUGUAUACUAGCCAUACUUAUAAAGUUAUCAUGCUAACCUUUGCACAUCCUUCCGCAAUCUGUGCGAGUGUUAUGAGCGCAGCAUGGUGCUUCUGCCACUCAGGAGCAGACAGGUACUGUGGAAGCAGCUCAGAUGCAAUUGGCACAAUUGCAUUUCCACCAAUGGCGAUGGCAAGGCGGUCAAGGCACUCCUGUGCCACUCCAUAGUUGUUCCCUUCACCUGCAUCCUCAUCUUCGGUUUCAGCAGAGUGCCAAGCAGGGUCAUCCUCGACAUCAAGCAGCAUCUGCAUUAGCACUGCAAACAGCCUGCCGACAAACUGCGGGAGUCGACGCAUCAUUCCCGGUGCACGCUCCCUUGCCUCAGCAAGAGUAAUGACAAACUCAACCGCCAAGUGCCUGGUCCCAUCUUCCAGCUGUGCAGCCUCAGCAACUUGUAGCAUUGCUCCCACCACGUCCGCAAUCUGCCUCCGUAGGAACCUUGGCUCUGCGCCAGCCAGCUCAACGAGCAGCUCCAGCGCCUCCUGCGCCGAGGCCUCCUGGCCAGAGUUCAGGCAAUCCGUGAGCGCCCUCAUCAUAGCCGGGAGCAAAUCCUGCAUCUUAUCCCGAUCGGCGUUGGUUGGCAGGCACUGGACGAGGUUGACUGCGGCACCCAGGGCCGCAAUACGCACAUCAGGGGAUGUGGGGUGCGCCAGAGCGGCGGCGAGCAGGUUGUGGAUAGUCAUCAGAUGGUCGAGGAGCGAUUCAGCGAUGUAAUCCGCCAGCCUCGCGAAGAUAAGCAGCGCCGACUCCUGAAGGUUGGGCGCCUCGGGCCCCGACGCGGCGCGGAAGAGGAAGGGCAGCAGCUCGGCCCAGGCGUUCUCGGGCAGCAGCGAGGCAGCGAGCUCGGAGAUGGCAUCGCAGACCUUCUUGGCGAUGGGCUUGGGGGGAUCGGACUGGAGCGCGGAGAGGAGGUGCGCCUUGAGCGCGGACUGGCCGGCGAGGGAGAGCUGCGGCCAGAGCGGCGCCGGGGGCGAGGCGUUGUUGGCGGACGCGUCGGAGGACGGGGUCGGGGAGAGGACCUUGCGGAGCAGGACCCCCGCCAUGGCGCGGAGGUCGGCGGCGGUGGCGGGCGACGCGAGCGAUGAGGCGAGCCGCAGCGCGAGGGGCUCCGGGUGGGAGGCCCGGAGGCGGUGGAAGGCGGCCUCGGCGGCGGAGCGGUCGGUGUUGGAGGACGACAUGAGGGUCGACAGCAGCCCGUCGAACGCCGCCGGGUCGCCCCCCAGCAGCGCGGCGGCCGCGGCCUGGUCCUCGGCGGACGCCAUCGGAUCGGGGUCGAAUCCGGGGCGCGCGGCGGCGGCUAGGGUUUGAGGGGGGAUAGGGGUCGAGCCGGUGGUGGCGGCGGCGGCGGGAAGGGGAGGAGGGUGGUGGAGAGAGAAUUAGAGACACGGCCUCGGGUUGGGUUUAAUAUUAUAUGGGUAGGGUUUGGGAGAUGCGUGCGGCUCGCUCGUCGCGGGCGGGCGCGGCGGGGAGAGGCCAGGCGACCUGGUGGCUGGUGCGUUUGGGGUGGGUGACUGGGUGGGGCAACCGCCGCGACGCGAGAUGAGAACGAGACGAGAGCAGCGCGCUCGCCGUGUGGUUUGGUUGCAGGCCGCCGGGGUCGGGUCCGGCUUGGCGGGGUUCGGGCACCGCACGACGGUUUCGCGGGAUUCCCUUGUCCCCGUCAGCUUUUCCCUCGUCCCCCGUGGAUUUUCGCAUCGACUCGCCGAUUUCUGCGUCCGCCGAAACCGACCGCUCGGCUCGUCUCGGUUCGGCACCCGCUCGUGCCCCUAUGGCAUCCGCCGCUUCGCCGAUGCUUCCUUUUCCCUGCCGCGCCGCGUCUUUUCGGCGAGCGGGCACGGGGGGUUCUGGGUUUUACAGCUGGGGGGUGUGAGCUGGGCGCGUGGAUGGAAUGGAUGGACAGGAGAAGGUGGUGACGCCCAUGGAGGGCCAUGAUUGGGCAUUGAUGGGUACAGGCAGGCGGCCGGGCGCCAUCUUCCCCGCGUCAUCAUUGAUGCACGGCUCAGGGGAACAGCAGCGGCCCAACAGGGCUCGUGCAAGCUGCUGGCAAUCUUGUGGGUUGACUGAUUUCCGGUACGAAGAGUGGGAAUGUUUUGGUUAGCUACCAAUGGUGUGUAGCACGUAGUACAAUAGUUACGUGUGCAUCACCGUAUCAAUGCAAAACAAGUGGUGAACAAACGGUGAUUGAGAUCCCGUGUGUUCAUUCCCAGGGAUUAUGAUUUCGUUUUUUGAAUUUUUUCGGUCCUCAAUAAAAACACCAAAUUUCGUGAAAUUUCAGCCGAAAUUUGGACUAAAAAGGUAAAUCUUUCGACGAAGAGAAUAAAAUUCUGGACAAACAGUUAUUUCAGUCACCAUCGAAAAGACCAAAAUUUCACGAAUUUCGACCGAAAAUUCACGAAUUUUGACUGAAAAUCUACGAAUUUCAACCGAAAUUUUGAACCCUGUUCAUUCCAUUCCUUUUCGAUAGAGGUGUUGUUUGCUCCAUAAAUUGCGACGCAAAAGCACGCACAUCCCGUAAAAGUUAUUAAAGUAAUGAGAAUUUGGCAUGACGUCAACAAAGUAACAAGAAACUGACGUAACGUUAAGCCGUUAACAAAAUAGCGGAAACCGACAUGGCGUUAUGCUUUUAACGAAGCAGACAAAAACCGACGUAACGUUAAACCGUUAACAAACAAACAGAAAAACUGGCAUGGCGUUAUGUCGUUAGCAAAGGAACAAGAAACUGGCAUUGCGUUAGGCCACCGACAUUGUUCGGUUCCCAAGAAUAACAGAAAUGGAAAGUGGGGAGCUUCCACUAAAGGAGAAGACGACACAUAGAAAGAGGAAGGUUGUUGUACGUAGUGGAGCUGCAUCUUCUGACGUGUCGUAGCUAUCGUCAUCGACGGCUAUCACGCAUUAUGUAUCACUUCUGCUUUGGCGGUAUCAUUUAGCAUCUGUGGUAAUCUGUAGAAUGUAAGCUCCGUCAAACUACCACCAAGCAAAUUACACAUGCUACCCUCAAGGUAAACCAACUUGCCCUCUUUAGCCUCCUCAUAGCCUCGAUGAGUUCCAUUUCCCUAACUAUUGCAUGCGGAUGCUGGUAAGCAUCACACAUCAUAACUACAAAAGCUUUCUAUGAAAGCUAAUUCACCGGUGCCACGUUCUCGCACUAGUUGAAUAUUUCAUAUUAAGAUCGCAAGAUAUACAUUGGCUUGGAGGGAUUCACAUAUUAAAAAAAGGCUAGGCAAUGCAAUCUAAUUACAUUAUAAAAAAAAGGUGACCAAACAUUACCGUAAGUUAACCGUCAUGAUCAGAUUUGGCCUAGACGCGCCCCUUCCCCAAGGGUUUUUGGAGCCGCCGCUGCCGUCGCAACCUCUCUCACCUCCACCACCGUUGGUCCCCCCCUUCCCACCUCCGUCAUCUCGCCAGAGGUCGGAGGGAGUGGGGAUCCAUCUCUCUAAUAGUUUUCUUUGUAGAUCGAGUUCAGUUUAGGGUUUAGGUUUCUCCAUGCUGAAUUUCUCGAUAUUGAAGAUUUGUUACCUCCCUCUCCUUUCCGUCAACGGCGAGGAGGUAGGGUGGAUUUGGUCUCUCAUAGCGACUCCGAUGAAGAUGAUGGCGGCAACUACGACGUUAGCAACUUCCUUGGUAUGACGACACAGAGAAUUAGGUUUCUGGAUGACGACAUCGAGGCGGGGAUGAUGUUACCAUCGUGGAAUAAUUUUCUCAGCCCCUUCUCCGUUUUCUUGUGGUUAGACCUAGCCACGAUGAAGGACUUGUGAGAAUAAAUCUGCUCCUCGAGCCGAUUAUAUUUGGUUUUGAGUUGGGAAGAUCAGGUGGUUUUCCUUAUUCUUCAGUGGCAGAAGGAAAAAUAAGGAAGACACAAGAAAAAAGAAGAUUAUACUCAAUUUCGCCUACAGGAAUGUUGGUCGCCAUUCUUUGGGCACCUAUUCUCAGCCUGUUUGCUGAGUGUUUACUUUCGGGCGUACACCCCAGGUCCACGAGUAGGCCUUGGACGGCCCACCAAAGGACGUACUCGGACAAGAUCAGAACAAGGAUGGGUGUAUCCUACUCGGACUAGUCAAGUAUGUUUAUGGAAAACUACUCGGGCCAUUACCGGGUUUCUCUCUGUAAUAGUACCCGACUAGGACUCAGACUUGUAACCCUGCCCUCCCGUGUAUAUAAGGACGGGCAGGGACCCCCCUCAAAAGGACACGAGGACAACUCCAGUUCAUCAAAUACAAACCAACACACAGGACGUAGGGUAUUACGCGAUCUAGCGGCCCGAACCUGUCUAAAUCGUGUUCCUUGCGUCACCAUUGAUUCCUUGAUUCUCGACGACCCUUACCGCAUAAAAGACCACCUAGGUACCCCCUAGGCGGGUUGCCGGUCUAAAACACCGACAUUUACCUGUGGGGUCAUCCAUAUGGAUCUUCAUAUAUGUUUGGAAUUGAGAUUUAGAGCUAUAUGUUGCAUAAGUACCAUAGAGAUGAAGAGCAGUUAAGCAGUUUUAUGGGUACACUUGUAAUCUUUGUAUUGGAGAGUGCUUGUAACAUUAGGAUGUACUCAGCUACAAUUUAAUAUAAUUCUUCUUUCACCUAAGAAAACAUUAUCGUAAGUUGAUUGAAAUUUGGGCACAAAUGUCCAAUGUGUGUUACCAACCGCAUAUGUGCAAACCGAAAUCUGUCUCAUUCACUAUGAUGAAUCAUUGACCCCGUUCUUGCGUUCUUCAAGCUCUCAACUUGUCCUUCUCAAAGAAUUGAGGGGGCUUUGAAUCAACUUAAGAAAAGAGUAGUCUAGAAUAUGUUUGCUUCUCUCAACACUGGAGUCUUAACUUUUAAAUCUCAAGAUUAAUAUGUCCAUUUGCAUGUUGAGAUAUAACACACUUUGAAGUCUCGAUAAAUCAUUAUUCAGUUUUGCAACUUAAAUAGCUCGAAUCAUGCCAACCUAUCUAUCAACCACUAAAAUGGGCCUCCUCAAACAGGAAAAUGAAAAAUACGAUGCUAGCUAGUUUGAUUAUCGCGUUCCAAUGUCCCUUUCCAAUAAAGAGGUCUUUGGUUUGGAAAAUGAGAUUAUCCAUCAAACUUGGUCAAAGUUAGACGAUUUUUACUUGAGACAAAGCUAGACUAACCAAUAAUUUGAAAAAUACAUUUUUGAAAACAGUUUUAUUGAAAAGCAUAACACACCCAACUAGUUUUUACUGAAAAUUCCCCUGGAAAAUAACAUAAUGGUCAAACAUAAAACACCUACUAGUUCCUUGACUCAAUCCACUGUUCAUCCCACUGGAUUCACUAAAAACGCCUGCAACAUAUUCCAGCUGGUCUGAAAUCAAGCUGGGUUCAGGUCCAGAUUUGAACCAGAGCUCGGUUGGAUUUUCGCCUACGUGCAAAGGCGAUCUCGUGGCAACAGACCACUCAAUCGAAAGCUCCAAACACUGGAAUACGUCCGAUACGCAUAGCUCCUUAAUUACAAAAUCACUGUCAGUCUGUCAAUAUAUAUAUAGCAUAACGUAGGGGUAGAUGCGGCGGUGAGCCUCGUACACCUAGUGAACAAAUCUGGUUAGCUUGCCAGCCCUUGGAUCCCUCUUGUCCACGUAUUGGUGUCCCCAGCUGAAAAUGUGAAAAGCAUCACAUGUCACACUCAUACCAAUAAAAAGCUCCAUUCUUCAAGCCAAGCAGCCAGCCAACCAAGUGAUAAUGCAUAAUUUUCCACAAUGAAGGGCAUAAACAUUCCCCCAAACAAAUAAUUGACACAAACAAACAAGCAUAUCGGCACUCCCCUGAGGUACAAAACAAUUCAAACGUUGCAUCAGCACUCGAGUUCUUUAAUCACAUCGAGCUACAAGCAAUGGAGCUGCUAAUAGCUGGAUGGGCCCACACAUAAAGCCGGCUUUCAAGGUGCACAAACUCCACUUAACAAGAUAACAUGCCGUCCACUUCACUUAAAUAUAUGAACAAAAGAACAAACAAAUGGUGUUAUCUCCCCAACAUCGACACGAGAACGGAACAAACUGUAUGAUCAGCACUCACACUUCAGUUUUUUUUAAAGAUAAUUUGACACGUAGGAUGUGAUAUAGUAUGAUGAAUAGUUGGCCAACAAUUGUCAAAGCUUCGCUUGCCGGGUCGUUACUGGACCGCGUUGCACAUCCCGGGGCGUGUCCGGCACCAGAGCGGCUGGAUGGGCUCGGCCCGGACCCCUCUCCCCACCAUGCGGUUGCGCCAGUCGGUGAGCCGGUCCGUCGCCUCGGCGUACCUCUUCCUGCCGGAGGCGUCGCGGUUGCCGGACCAGAGCGCCUCCGCCAUGGCCGAGGUCCUGGGCCAGACCCGGCCGUCCAGCACCGUCGCGUCGACCUGCUCCGUCCACAUCGCCACCUCGCCGCCGAUCACCAGCCGGGCCUCCUCGGGGGUGAGCCCGUACGCGAUGUCGUAGUCGUAGACCCGCUGCCACGUCUUGUAGGGCCCGCACCAGGACCCGCCGCUGCUGUUGAAGUCGCUGUUGGGGUCGUCGUAGAUGCUGUUGUUGCCGAGGAAGUCGCCGUGGCCGCAGUCGAGGUAGUAGAAGGACGCCGAGGAGACGAUGGCGCGGUACCCGGCCCGCACGAUGAGCUUCGUGUUGUUGGGCCCGUUGUUCCACGUCUGCAGGAUGGUCGUCGCCGGCGGGAUCGCCGACGCGCUCACGUUCACGGCCGCGUCCAGCAGCACGUCCUCCCAGUACACGGCCGUGCGGUUCCGGGACACCACGAGAGGGUGCACCGCGCUGACGUAGCGCUCCAGGAGCUGGCUCAGCGUGGCGCCGCGAUCCAGGUCGGCCUGGAUGGUGGGGUCCGCGUGCCAGCAGCCCGGGGUGACCUCGUCGGCGCCGGCGUGGUAGAAGCCGUCCGGGAAGAGGGAGGUCAGGUCGUUGACGACGUUGGUGAUGACCUCGUACGUCUUGGGCGCCAGCGGGUUGAGCUGCCCGGCGCCCGGCUCCGCCGCGAGACGGUUGUUCCAGUCGCCGCCGGGAAGCCAGAACUUGCCCGCGCAGGACACGGCCUCCGGGUACGCGCCGGCCCACGACGCCGUGUGGCCUAACAACAAUAAUGUCGAGAGGUUAAUUAAUUGGGCCGUAGAAACCAAAAUCCAUGUAAUAGAGUAACUGGGCCGCAGAAAGCAAAGCCCACAAAACAGAGGCAGCCGGAAAAGACGGAGCAGAGGAAGCUGGAAAACGAGCAGCGCCCACGGCUUACCCGGCGAGUCUAUCUCCGGCACGACGCGGACGCCGCGGCUCAUGGCGAACUCGACGAUGUGCUUAACGUUCUCGACGGUGUACCGCAUGUCCUCGCCGUAUGCGCCCUUCUCGGCGAGUUGCGGCUCGGAGGGCAGCUCGAUGGGGAACGACUGGGAGUCCGUGAUGUGCCAGUGGAACACGUUCAUCUUGUUGGCCGCCAUGGCGUCGAUGGUCCGCAGGAUGUCGGCCACGGGGAAGUAGGUCCUACCGGUGUCGAGCAUCAGCCCGCGGUGAGGGUACAGGGGCCGGUCCUCGACGUGCACGCCGGCGGCCAGCACCAGCAUGUCCCGGCCCCGGUCCCGGCCGUGGCCGGCCCGCCACGCCAGCUGCGAGAACGUCUCUAACCCGCGCAUGGCGCCCCACGCGGUGACCGCGGUGACCGUGGCGGCGCCGCCCGUGGCGGGGACCUCCAGCGUGUAGGACUCGUCCACGCCGUGCUGCAGCGGGGCGGCGAGGUCGGACACGGCCAGGGUCAGCCUCGCCAGCGCGCUCCCCGCGGUGACGUUGACCGCCGGCCGGACGACGGGCCGGUACCGCUCCGUGACCAGCAGCUUGGCGUAGCGCUCCGCGGCGGAGGCGAGGUACGGGUUCCCGGACGGCGCGACGAUGCGGAACGACGGCGACAGCGGCACGGCCGCGUGCGGCUCCGCCCACGACAUGGACACCGGCUUGGGCCAGACAUUGACAGGGAACGACGCGUCCGCGGCCGCGCGCGUCAUCAGGAGCAUCGCCGGCCAGCCGAGCAAGAGCAGCAGCCGGAGGAGAAGCGUCGCCAUUAGAGCUCUGGAUCGAGCUGCUCCGCGCUGCAGAUUCUAAUUGGUGCACUCCUCGACGUCAAGACUCUUUGCUGUAUAUAUAAGUGUGGGUAUUAUCUUAGGAGAUAAUUGCGCGAGCGGCAUAGUGGUCGCUGCUGCCUCCAAGUGGCUCCAUCUCCAUCAAGUGUUCUACUGUUCUUGGCGCUAGCGUUCGUCUGUUUAUGGGCGCUAACUUCUUUAAUUAAGAUCUUCGUCUCCGGUUGCGUUUCAUAUCUGAUGCUGGCUUUGGAGUUUACGCUUCUCCGGUUAACUUGCACGGCGGAGUUUUCAGGCCUAAACAACUCGCGUUCAGGCUCCAUUUGUACUCGUCCAAGCAGAGAUCGCGUUGAUUUGACGUGUUCGUCGCGUACCCACUUCGCUCUAGACUCUAGUCUCUAGAGGCGACGCUGGGGCAUAGCUGCAACGGCGGGAGUAGUUUACGAGGAAGCGGAUAGUGGAAGGCCUGCUGAAUUUUGUUUUUAUGGGCUGGGAACUGAGUAUGAUAACACGUUGGCUUCUGCUAGUGUCUUUGCUAGUAAAGUACUGGAACGGAGUUGUUUGUCAUCCAUUUGGACAAAGUGAGCUUGAUUAGGGCUGUUUAAUUUGGAAGGCGAAACAAGAAAAACAUACAGUAGGGAAUCACAGAAAUUGGAAGGUAGACUUCUUAUUUUUUUUUCAGGAUACUCUCUGUUUCUAUGCAAAACGUGUCAUUCCAGAGAAGUGAAAACACGAGGAGCUACAGAAAUAACAGGUCACCUUCCCUCCGACAGAACACUCAUAGAGGAUACACCAAUGCUAGUCUCUGACUGAUUAGAUGACAUGACAUACGAAUCAAACCCUUCGUUCUGCAUCAGCGACAUCAUGCUGUAGCUCGUAUAGCUCGGGGACAGUUCAGGGACCGGCUGGUUGGCGUCCAAGUACUGCACGACUCGUCGCAUGCCGGGUCUCACAUUCGGCAACGGGUGCGCGCACAUCAAGCCCAGCUUCAGCACGAGGGUCACCUCCUCCACCUCAUACUUCCCCACAAGCCGCGGAUCCACGGCGUCAAGGAUCGAUCCGUUGCGGUGAUGCUCGAUCACCCGAUCCACCAGCACGACCCUGUUGUUGCGGUCGUCGCGGUCGAUAGGCCUGCGCCCACAGGCGACCUCCAGGAGGAACACGCCGAAGGAGAACACGUCGGUUAACGGCGUCGCCUUCCCGGUGCGCACGAGCUCCGGCGCGAGGUACCCCAUGGUCCCGACCACAUGAGUGGUCUGAGGAUCGGCGCCAUGGUCGUAGAGCCUCGCCAGGCCGAAGUCACCGAGCCGGCCACUCAUCUCGUGGUCCAGCAGCACGUUGCUGGCCUUGAUGUCUCGAUGGAUCACGACCUGCUCCCAGUCCUCGUGUAGAUACAGUAGGCUUGCGGCGACACCCUUGAUUAUCUUGUACCUCUCGUGCCAGGAAAGAGUGGGCAUAUGCUGAUCGUGCAGGUACUUGUCAAGGCUACCAUUUGGCAUGUAGUCGUAGACCAAGAGUAGUUCGCCUUGGCGUCUGCAAUAGCCUAGCAGUUGAACAAGGUUCCGGUGUCGAAGGCGGCCGAUGCUCACAACCUCGGCAACGAACUCCCUCACUCCUUGCCUGGAAUCAUGUGACACUCUCUUUACUGCGAUAUCCAAACUGGAUCCUGGAAGCACUCCUUUGUAUACUCUUCCGAAUCCUCCGACGCCCAGCAAGUUCUUGUCCUUGAACCCGUUGGUGGCAUGAAACAGGUCCUUGUAUGAGAAGCGGUGCGGGCCGAACUCGUCCUCCCAAUCUUCCCGAACCUCGGCGUACCGGCGCCGCCUCCAUACUAUCAAGAAGACGGCUGCGAGCACUGCGGCCACGAGCAACGCAGUGGCGAGGGGAAGCAUGACAUCCAAGACCUUGGACCGUGGCUUCGGACCCACGCGUGGCAGGACGGGGAGCUUGGAGAAGUCGAGAGGUGGAGCUGGUCCGUCAAAGCUGAAGCUCCACCCGAGCACGUAGUGGCGUGUGAUGACGACUCCAGUGGCCGAGGAGAAGCCGACGUACAUCGUAUCCGCCAUGAACGUAGAGAGAUCGACGGGCACGGAGAUCAGAGGCUUCUUGGGCUUUUGCACUUGCACCGGAGCUAGCGUCACGUUGAGCUGCCCGGCCUGGCCGUCGUAGUCGAUCCAUACUUGCAUCGGCUUCCGGCUGUUCAGCUGCAAAUCUCUCCAGGCGCCGCCGGCCGCGUCGUCGUAGUAGCCGGCCGGCUGGGGCUGCUCUGAAAUCAGGCUGUUGACGUCGACGCCGACGUGGUUGCUGUUGAUGUCGCGGAUCUCGGGGUUCAUGAUGGUGUCGAGCUCGACCGCCAGGACGCGAUCGCUCGCCGUGCCGUUGAUCGCGCCGAGGAGGCCCAGGUACUGCCCCGCUUUGGCCGCGGAGAAGUUGGUGGUCGGGGCGACCACGAAGGCGAGGCCGUGGUCGCUGAGCCCGUCGUAGGCGGACACAAUGGCGAACACGAAGCACGUCGAGAAGGACCGCGCCCCCGCCGCGGUGGCGUUCGCCGCCGCCGUUGAGGAGGAUGACGCGUUGAGGAAGUGGACGGGGGCCGGGUGGAAGGCGUGCGCUUUCUCCUGGAACGUGGCGUUGGUGAGCGCGAGGAGGCCGCUGGGCGUCACGGCGGCGAGCCCGUCCAGCGUGAGGUUCGCCGAGGCGAAGCCUUGGUAAACAAACUGGCCAACGUCGGCGGACGACGAGGCGACAUGGAUCAGGAGGAUCGGAACGACGAAGGGUACGAUCUUGGCAGGCAUCUUGUUUUUUACUGGGACACUUCUCCUUGACACCCUCAAAGAGCUUUGCUUAAGCCACAACUUCAGUACUGAUAUGCUUGCAUUGGCGAAAUAUACCUACAGUGUUUGACAUGUCGAGAUCCAGGGUUGGUUGGGUGUUGGACUGCUGGACUUGUGUCCUGGUAAAGAGUGGGUGAUGACUGAGUCUUGAGGAGCAGGAGAGCUGAAAAACUGAUUGAAAGAUACACCGAGAGGCACGCGCACGCGAUGUAUUGACAGGUACUGCAACUUCCACGCGUGGAUUCAUUGAUGUCAACGAAAGACCUGUCCGACGCGACAAUUCUGCCGUCAGGAACUUCAAAGAUGGCUGCUGUUCGAAGUGUCCUGCGAACCUAUCCUGGUAGAGUGGUGUUGCCGUGCCCAGCGGGUGAGCAAUCGUUGCGCGUGCUAAUAUCGAAAAGUAAUAGCGACGGCUAAAAUUAAUUAUUUAUCUGUGAUAUGGUAGUAUAUAUAAAUAAAUAGUAUAGAUAGUAUAAAGGUAUCAUGGUAAAAAACACAAAUAGCAUCACUAUAAUUUUAUUUUGACACUAGCAUAAACUUUACUAUUUGAAAUAUCAUUUUUUACAAUGUAAUAAUUACUAAAUUAUGCAAUGAACAGUUAGAUCUUAUAUAUACUAUAUACUACUAAGUAGUAGUAUUGCGUAACGUAAAGGAGUCUGAUAAAGAAGCAGGUUUCAAUGAAACCAUUAGCGUUGCUGCCCGUCACCAGCAAGAAAACGAAAUCUGCGAUGUGCUAGUAGGCAGUAGCUGAACAUCUGGAUCGUUUCGGUCGUAUGUGUUCAGCUGACACUCUUCAAAAAAGAAGAAGAAGUGUUCAUCUGACUGUUGUACGCUGCUGACUAAACGAUGCACUGCUUUGUCAAAUAGAACGACCAUUCCAGUCAGAAGUGUUUGUUGGAUGGACUGCCCGAAUUCUUUCACUGGUACUGGUGCGAUUUUACUGGUUACACUCAAACACCUACUCUCCGGUUGACGUUUAUUAGGAUUCCAUUCCAUGGACUGCUAGCUCUUCUGUCUCGUGACAGCGAAGCAUUUCGACUUCACUCAGCAACCGCAGAAGGAUCCAUUCUCUCGCGGGUCAAUUCUGGAGUCCCGAUCGAUCUUGACACGGAUCACGUUUCUUUUUUGCUUUCUGAGCAUGCGCAUUUGACUGGUUUCAUGAACAGCUUCGUGUGCUUGUGAUAAGGCCACCCGAAAAUGCAUGAUUGUUCAUUGCUGUCAUCAUCUGCGAGGUGUACCUCAUCCUUGAAUCCUUUACACGAGUAUAUUACUAGUCUUUAAACGGUUUCUUUUGCAAAUAAAAAUCAACUGUGUUUAGACAAAAUAUCUCAACUACACGAAUGGUAUUGACCAGGUCAGCAUUUCAGGCAAACUACUACUGAGAUCCUUGACAAGAAAAUUUCCAGGUUCAUGCCAAUAAUCCUGCCAUUAAUAAUUGUUUUUAGAUUACGGCACCGCGUUUAGUACUAGUUUCUUUUGUUGUUUUUGUUAAGCAUAGAGAUGUCUCACUGAUCCGUGUCAAAGAUAAGAAGAAUACAGUACUGUAUGACAUAAGACGCACCCCCCCCCCCCCCCCCCUCCCCCUCUUAUUAGAGAAAACAGAUAAACGGUUACAGUCCCUAACUGCAAGAUCAUAUCACCUUCCUCCAGUGAAAUCAGAAACGGCACCUAUGCUCGUUGACGACACGCAUGACAUCAUAUUCUUGUUGAACUCCCUGCUGUACAUCCGCUCCAUUCCGGUGAAGCCGAAAUACUCCGGUGACAGGUCUGGAAGGACCAUAUCUCCGUCGAGGUACUGCAUGACCUGCCGCAUGGUUGGCCUUGCGUUGGGCAAUGGAUGCGAGCAAAGCAGCCCAAGUUUCAGUACCAGAGAUACCUCAUCAGGAUUAAAACCGUCUGGGAUCAUCGUGUCCGCCGCGUCGACCAUCAAUCCCCUACGCCAGUGCUCAGUUACCCAAUCCACGAGCACGGUGUGGUUGCCGUGCUCGUCUUGCUCAAUUGGCCUUCGUCCACAGGUGACCUCCAGAAGGAAUGCCCCGAAGGCAAAGACAUCGGUCGCCGGAGUCGCCUUGCCUGUGUGUCCUAAUUCAGGGGCUAGGUACCCCAUAGUCCCGACCACAUGUGUAGUAUGCGCAUCGGUUCCAUGAUCAUACAGCCUCGCAAGGCCGAAAUCCCCUAGUCGUCCAUUCAUUUCAGCAUCGAGAAGCACGUUGCUUGCCUUGACAUCUCGGUGGAUGACAACUUGCUCCCAAUCCUCAUGGAGGUACAAUAGCCCAGACGCCACUCCUCUGAUGAUGUGAAACCUUUGAGGCCAAUCCAAUAGUGCACCCUUGCUUCGAUCGUACAGGUACUUGUCAAGGCUACCGUUUGGCAUGUAAUCGUAGACCAAGAGAAGUUCACCUUUGCGCCGGCAGUAGCCGAGUAACUGAACAAGGUUGCGGUGCCGCAACCGUCCCAUGCUCGCAACCUCGGCGAUGAACUCCUUCAUGCCCUGCUUGGACUCGUGAGACACCUUCUUCACCGCGACCUCCGUGUUGGACUUGCGGAGAACGCCCUUGUAGACGCUUCCGAACCCUCCUGCUCCGAGCAGCUGCUUGUCGCUGAACCCUUUGGUGGCAUGGAACAGGUCCUUGUACGAGAACCUGUGCGGCCCGAACGCGACCUCCCAGUCCUCGCGCACCUCGGCGUACUUGAUCCGCCGCCGCACCAAGGCGUAAAUCGCGACGCCCACGGCGAACACCAGCGCGGCGGACGCUAUGGGCAGCACAAUCUCCAAGACCUUGGACCGCGGCUUGUUCCCCGCCGGCGGCAAGGUAGGCAGCGCUGAGAUGUUCAGCGCCGGGGCCGGCCCGUCGAGCGCGAAGCUCCAGCCGAGCACGAAGUGGCGCGAGAAUAGGAUGCCCGUGGCCGAGGUGAACCCGACGUACGCCGUGUCCUGGACCACGUCGGAGAGGUUGACGGUGGUCUGCAGCAGCGGUUUCUUGGGCCUGGACAAGCCUACAGGGGCCAUGGUCACCGUGAUCUGCGUGGCGGCGCCGUCGUAGUCGACCCAGACCUGCAUGGCCUUCCGGCUGACCAGGCUCAGGUUCCGGAACUGCCCGGUGCCGUCGUCGUAGUACCCGGCGUCCGCCGCGGCGCGCGACACCAGGCUGUCGACAUCGACGCCGACGUGGUUGCUGUUGAUGUCGCCGAAGUCGGCGUUGAAGAGCGUGUCGAACUCCACGGCGAGGACGUGGGAGCUCCGGUUGCCGUUGUUGUUGGUGUUGAGCAGGCCCAGGAACUGGCCCGGCAGCGCGGCGGAUAGCAGCUCCUUGUCGGAGGCGACGAAGAACGCCAGGCCGUGGCUGCUCAGGUCGACGUACGGGCCGUAGAUGGCGAACACGAAGGUGGUCGAGAAGGACCGGGCGGCGGUGGCGUUCCGGGCGCCCGGGUCCUGGAACGGCAGCGGGGACGGGUGGAACGCGUGACCCUUCAUCUGGAUGGUGCCGUUGGUGAGCAUCAGGAGGCCGUUCGGCGUCACGGAGGCCGCGCCGUCGAGGGUGAGGUUCGCGCCCUUGAAGCCGUUGUAGACGAACCGGCCGCCAUCGCCGCCGGCAGUGGCGUCCGCGCAGCGGCCAGCGGGCGCAAGGAGGAGGAGGAGGAGGAGCAGUGCGGCCAGGUGGAAAGUCUGAAGCGGCAUUGCUCCGACGUCGCCGUUGGAUUUCUGAAUUGUAAACGGCAGGCGCCAGUUUUGGUGCGGCAGUAAUACGCAACCGUCAGCAUAAAGUUUUUGGAAGUGUCCGAUGGGAGGAAAAUUCAGGGAUCCUCGUGGCGCGUGAGGAACAUCACCUACCAAUUAAGUUGAAGAUUGCGGCGGACUCGGGACUGAAAUGCAUGGACGGGGCGAUUUAGCUGAUGGUGUUUCUGUCUGGACUCAGGGGAAGCAAUAUUUGAACAGGGAAAGGGGACAGCGGGGGGGGGGGGGGGGGGGGACGGAGAGCGUUGACCCUUGUCGGAUCCAACACCACGAAGAGUGCCAUGUGCUAGAAUUGGCAACCCAGACGCGACUCGCGAGAGCAAUCAAGUUUGUGUGCCACAGCCUCUACGGGACUACGCAAUCUCUUCUCUUAGUCCCUAUUUACUGUCACAUCAAUUAAAUAUAAAUUAAUUACAAAACCAAUUGCAUAAACAAAGACUAAUUCACGAGAUAAAUCUAUUAAACCUAAUUAAUCUAUGAUUUGACCAUGUGAUGCUACAAUAAAUAUGUGCUAAUCAUGGAUUAAUUACGCUUAUAGAUUCGUCUCGCGAAUUGGUAUCAAACAUUCGGGUCACAUCGGAUGUUUAUAUACCAAUUAGAAGGACUAAACAUGAACUAAUUAUAAAACUACAACAAGCAUGCUGUAGGUUCCACUGGCUACACUGCUCCUCCUCCUCGCAAGCAUGCUCAAAAUGAUGAUAUCUACUACAGCAAAGGUUCGACAAGGGCAGCAUUACUAGCAGCAGGGGGAGCUAUCAAGAUAUUUUCCUCUGCGAGCAUAUUAGAACUGUAUAAGUAAUUUGCUCCUAUGUAAAUAAGAUUCAUUAUGUUGCUCUAAAUAAUUAAAACUCAUCGGCGUGUACGCUUGUGGCUGAAGGGAUCCACAAAUAUGCUUUUGCACUUGUGAGACCACCGGGACAUCAUGCGGGAACAAGUGGCCCAAGUGGCUUCUGCAUAUUUAACAAUAUUGCUAUUGCAGCUUCACACUUGUUGGAGAAAUACGUGAGUUUUGUGUGCUGUGUCCUGAAAGUAACUAGUCAAUGGUUAACUUUCCAAUUUCCAAGCCAUAAGAUGCCAAAGUAGAGAUAGGAUACAAACUGAAAUCUUUUUCUGAUUCUUUUUUUUAUACAUGUGUAGAAAAUGAGAAAAAUACUGAUAAUUGAUUGGUAUGUACAUGGUAAUGGUACACAGCAGAUCUUCUAUAAAGAUAAUUGUGUCUUACUCGUCUCCUUGCACAGGUACAAACUUGAACACUAUAGGCAGUGCUUGGGUAAAUUGUUAGGGUGUUUUAUAAGUUCUUUAUCUUACAGGCACGGACAAUUCUAUCCCUCAACUGACCUAGGAAGUCUUGGCCAUAUUGGUGAGGGGAAUGGCAGGGGUUGUGUUGGACUCAUGAGGGUAUAAGAGAUGCAGAUUAUAUCUAUGCUUGGGACCAUAUUGUUUUACCCAUGGCCGAUGAGUUUAGACCUGAUAUCAUUCUAAUCUCAGUUGGAUAUGAUGCAGGUGUGCUUUGGCUAGCCCCUUUGUUUCUCCUUUUCUACCUUAAUGAAAUGAUACGCAGCUCUCUUGCGUUAUUCGAGGAAAAAAAAAUUGUCCAUACACACAAAGAAACGUCACCUAAAAGCAAACCUUAUUUUUCUCUACCUUGUCUUCCUCUCUCCCAACAUCAUAUGCUUAGGAGAGUAUUUCUAUUUCUACCCACAAGAAUACUGUGUAUUCUGUUUUGGCAGUUGAAGGUGAUCCUCUGGGUGAUUGUAAGAUGACUCCAGGUGGAUAUGCAGCCUUGCUUGAUAAGGUAGUUUCUUGUAGUCUAUUUUUAUUCUCUUUUUAUUCUUACUCUUGUUCUUCUGACAUCCCCCUCUCUAUUUAGUUAAUUAGGUUUGUUCAUGUCGCCAUGGUCCUUGAGGGUGGCUACGGCUUGGAUCAGCUAGCCGAUUCUGUUUCUGCAUGUGUGAAGGUGCUCCUGGGUGAUAGGAGUGAUAUCAACUCUCAAAUAACAAGCUUACCAUUCGACACAACAGUAAAUAUGGUGAUGGAGGUAUGCAUUUUUACAUCAUUAAAUAUACAAAAUAGUAUCUAGAUUAGAAUUCAUAAAUUUCAGAAAAGAAUUCCAUGGCCUAUGGCCAAUAUUGUAGAUAAAAUUAUGACAGAACAUGCUAAACGAAAUUCUUUGAUGCAGGUCAAUUAAUAAGAUUGUUUAUGUUUUUAUGCAACCCUUUACAUCACUUGCAUUGCUUUGCUUAGUAUGCCAGCAAAAUCAGUUGCUAACAACAUCCCAACAGUAGUUACCAAAAUACUAGCAUAUACAGGGGUGGAUCUAGGGCUUGGGCUGGCGGGCUGGAGGUAUUGCAGUACGGGUCCAGCUCAUGUAUUCGCCUACUAUAUGUAUGCUGCUGUGCGGCUUGUUCAGUUCGUUCUUAACUCUCUCUUGCAUAUAGAGGAACAAACUGUGGUUUAGCCCGAGGUCUAUCCCAUUUCUGGGUCCGCCCCCGGGCAUAUAUGCUAUCACAAAGACUUCUAAGAUGCCCGUAAUCUCGUUUUAGGACUAGCAAUUAUGCAAUGCUUCUUAUCCUGGAAAUAAACACCAAAUAUGUGUAAAAUGCAUGAUGCUAACCGACAAAAUCCUAAAGUUUCAUGCCAGCAUAUUGUUAGAUGCAGAUGAAUGAUUCAGAGCUUUUGCCUUCUCGAUAUAAAUAAUGCAAAUACAUCAUUCGUUUUAUUUUAUUUUUUUCAAUUGUUGUUUCCCGGAAAGGAAAGUUACUUUCCGUGAACUACACAUAUAUCUGUUCCAGGCUUAUAGGUUGCCGUUUAUCAUUGGUUAAAGAACUGUUUGGUGAACUUUUAACCCUACAAAGCCUUGUACUUUGAGAUGAUGUUUGCAGAAUAAGUAGCCCAGAGGAGCAAAAAAACAAGAAAAUAUAAUACUUGUAAAUGUUGUGAUUGUAAAUCUAAAUGUUUGCUUUAUCAACAAAGAAAGCAGAGGCGGCUCUAGAGGGGGGCUGCUAGUUUGUGGAUUAGUGAUAAGAAUAUUCUGCUAGUACUUGUGGUUUUCAUUUUUAUUUAAUCACAAAAUAAAAAUAAAGUUUGUUUUUAUUUGUUUGCAGACUUGUCAAACACAUAAACCAUUUUGGAAGGCUUUCAAGAAGGAUAUCCCUGAAGAAAUUACAUCAAGGAGCAUACCAUUCACAAGAGACAUAGAGGUAAAUACGGCAGUUUGUAUAUUUUAGUAGAUGGGAAGGCGUGUCUAACUUUAUUGAUUAUGUUUGCAAUAUAAUAUACUUAAAAUUCAAUUUUUUUGUUUACUACUAUAAAAUUUUGGAAUUGGCCAAAUAAAUUAUGCAAAAGGAACAUGGACCAUAGAUCUACCUCCUGUAAUUCUUUAUAAUACCUUUUAGUUUUCGUGACACACAGGGUGGAAGAAAAGUCUGAUCUUUCAUCGGCCAAGAAACUGGAUGCGAUAAUUUGUAUAUAGGCUACUUCUUCCUUUCCCAGCAUUUGCUCCCUGGCUUAAGAUAUGGAUAGUCGUUACAAUACUUGUGUAUAGGGUGUUUGUACUUCUUGCACCAAUGCAUUUCGGGUAACCGAGUUACAGGCUGUUAGGAUCAUUCCUACACACAGUGGCGGAUCCAGAAACGGGCUUCGCCCCGGGCUAACUAAUAUAAGGCUUAAAAUCUUACUAGCCAUACACUAUUAGAUAUAAUAUAUUUUUCAAAGAGCAUAAUUCAACCAAUAGACUCAAACAAUACAUAGAAUAUUGAAGGUAGAAAAGUACCAAAUUAAGAGUCUUCCAUGAUAAAAAAAGAACCAUACAUGUCUUCAUGAAUUAACACUACUUUCACUUGUUCCGACAUCCUCAAUUCUACAUUAAAAUUUUCAACAUAUCAGCCCUAUAUAAAGCAAAAUAACAUUAUGUAUUGAAAUAGACUAAUACAAGUAAACAACACGCACCCUCGUUUGGCAAAUUCAUCUUACGGUUUCUUAAGCCUUGAAAGUGCUUUAGAAUUUUUUCAUCUUCAAUCGACGCAAACAAAUCUCGCUCAAUAUAGCACAUCAUGCUAUUAUUCAACCAAUCAUCAUUCAUUUUAUUUCUUCGUUCAGUCUUGAUAAUAUUCAUAGCAGAGAAGGCUCUUUCAACUGUUGCUAUUGCCACCGGCAAAAUCAAUGCAAGUUCAAUGAGACGAUACACCAAAGGAAAAAUUGUAUCUCUUCCAGUCUGAACCAUCUUCUCAGCAAGGUUACCAAGAUCAAUACAAGUGUCAAAAUUAUCAUCAUUUCUGACUUCAUCAAUGAAUAUAGGAAGGUCACCCGCAAGCUUUAUGCAGUCAUAAUCACAGAAGUCAUCUUUAUAAAUCUUAGCAAGCUCAACUAACUUCUGUACUUCAAAGUUGGCAAAAGAAUCCCUCGGAUCAAGACAAGCAACGCAUCUCAAGAGUUGAGUUGAUCUUUCUGGAAAUCGAUUGUUUAACUCACAAUAAACUUGAUCAAUCACAACAUUGAAAAUUCCAUGAUGAAAAUGAUGGUAGUAACUCACUAGUUUAGCACCACGACAUCUCGAACGACCUCUAACUGGUAUCAUAUCUUCCAUAUUAGGAAUUUCUAUGUUGUUGAGGAGGCAAAACUCCUUUACUUCUUCAAAAAGAGCAUCCCAACCAUUUUCCCUCAUUUCAUUCAUAUUUCUCAUCACAGAGCCAAUUAAUCCUAUUGCACGAACAAUAUUUUGAUUUUUCUUUUGCAAACAUUGUGACAAGUCUUGAGUCAUCCCCAAUACUCUAAUCAUAAGAUGUAAUAUGAACACAAAUUCAAAUGACUCCAUUCUUUGAAUCAAUCCAGAGGCUGUAGUUUUUUUUCCCCAUCAGUUCCAUCUUCACUAAUAUUCUCCAAUACCUCCAGUACAGAGGACCACAUGAUCAUAAGACAUGCCAAUGUUUUGUGAUGUGUACCCCACCGUGUAUCACCAGGCCUAGCAAGACUAGUUUCUUGGUUUUUCCCUCUCCUAGAAAAAAUAGCACUACUAUCUAACUGCUCAACAAGCUUAUCAUGAUGACUUUGAAGGAGUUGAUCUUUCCUCUUGCAAGAAGCACUAACAACAUUGACGAUUGAAGUGACAUAAUUGAAGAAAUCAAAAGUUGAGCCACAACACUUGGCUACAGAAACUACCACAAGCUGCAAUUGAUGAGCAAAACAAUGGAUGUAAAAGGCAUAUGGAAUUUUCGUUCAAUACCAAUCUUUGUAACCCAUGAAAUUGUCCUCUCAUAUUUGAAGCUCCAUCAUAUCCUGGCCCUCUAAUCUUGGAAAUAGAUAGACCAUAUCUUCUAAGCAUAGUAUCCAAUGCUUCUUUUAGUGAAGUUGAUGUGGUGUCAGAAACAUGUUCAAUGCCAAGAAACCUCUCAAUCACACUUCCUUUAUCAUUGACAAACCUACAAGAGAAAUGAGAAAAUAGUGUUACUUGAAAGCAACAAAACAAAACUAAUAAAAUAACCAAAUAGAGAGAAGGUAUAUACCUCACAACCACAGCCAUUUGUUCCUUAAUAGAUGCAUCACGAGCCUCGUCGACAAGAACCGCAAAACAACGAUCUCCUAUUUCACUUUUAAUUAACUCACUUGUCUCCUCUGCACAAGCCCUAGCCAAAUCUUUCUGAACCAUUGGACUACUCAUUUGAUUAUUCCCUGGAGCAUUUUCACCAGUCACAAGUGCAGCCUUAGGAUCCUUCUUUCUGUACCAUUCGAGCAUCUCCAUAAAGUUCCCUUUAUUUUUUGAUGUUUUAGACUCAUCAUGUCCACGAAAGGCUAGAGCUUGCAAAAGGAGAAAUCUAGCAAUGCCUAACAUGAUACUUAAACGAGCUUUAUAUGCCUCCUCUUCUGCUGCACUUGUAACAGACCAUACAUGUUCAACACUUUGCCUCUGAUUUUUGAAAUCAAGUGCACGCUUUCUUGCAUUAUUAUUAAAGCCAUCAAUUGAUUGAGCAUGCUCCUUGAAAUAAUUCUUUGCAUUCUUCCAAUUUCUAAACCCAACUUUGAUGAAUGUAUCAUUACUAUGAAACCCAGCUUGUUGUGGCUUAAAGAGAUAACAAUAAAAGCAAUAAGCUGCAUCCUUGGCUACACUGUACUCUAACCAAUCAAAUUGAUCAAACCAUGAUCCAACAAAUCCUCUUGAUUGGCCUUUACCAUCUUUUUUCGUUUUUGGAAACUUAUGACCAGCUGGCCUAUAUGGACCUAUUUGUAGAUAUGCUCUCCUUGCCUCAUCCCUAAUGUCAUGAUGAAAAUCAUCAAUUGGCUUCCUUUCUCCUGGAUCAGCAACUAUAUCUCUCAUAUCAAGUUCAAUCCGUGGUCUUUUUGCUCCAUCUUCCUAUUGCCUCNNNNNNNNNNNNNNNNNNNNNNNNNNNNNNNNNNNNNNNNNNNNNNNNNNNNNNNNNNNNNNNNNNNNNNNNNNNNNNNNNNNNNNNNNNNNNNNNNNNNGGAUUCUAUAUAUAGCCAGUACAGGACCUCCACUCUGUAUCCUCUCCAAAACAUAGGAGGCCCUAUAAUUCCUAUCUCGGCAGAGGGAGAGACAAGUUCGUUCCUGAUACAUUAUGAUUGGCGGCGCGCGGAUGACGGCGAGCUGGGCGGGCGGCCGGGCGCUGCCUGGCGCCUGGCGGCGAGUCGGGCAGGAGGAUUGGAGUCGGGGGAGCCGGGAGGCCGCACCGCGCACGCGCACAUCAGCACAUGGGCCGGCCGGAGGCAGUGCUAGGCUGCUAGGGCAACGGCCAACGGGAGUUGUUGGGCCGCCUGGGCGCCUGGGCUAACUUCUCUUCGGGGUGGGCUAAUGGGCCAAAAUGGUUUUUUAUACUAUUUUUAUGAAGAAGUUUUCCACUGCUCUUGGGCCUCGCCCCGGGCUGCAGCCCGGGGCCCAGAUCCGCCCCUGCCUACACAUGUGGUCAUGUGGAGUAUGUAGGCUCCAGAAACAGAAAGUGGAUUGGCCCUUGUUCCCGAAAACCUGGAUACUGUAAAGCAUCCAAGAAGAUUGUAAGGUUUUUUGUUGGGGUAAUAAUUGCUACCUGAGUUGAUUGCAGGGGUAAACCUGUUGACUUGUCCCGUGUUUGUUUCAACUCUUCCGUACUGAGUAGGCGAAUAUCGUGUUUGGUCUACCCACUGUCACCGCCUGUUUGCCCAUUUCACACCCGUCCCCAACUGUGACAGUGAGUAGGAACAGCUCGCCCCCUCAGGCCUCCAUCUCCUGCAGUCCUGCCUAUGCCUAGGAAACAGUACCGAGACCAAAGCUUAGGGGGGUGUUUGGAUACCCUUGGGCUAAUCCAUCACAUCGGACGUUUGGAUGCUAAUUAGGAGUAUCAAAUAUAAGCUAAUGAUAAAAUAAUUGCAUAAACGAGGGUUAAUUCACGAGAUGAAUCCAUUAAGCCUAAUUAGCUCAUGAUUAGCACAUGUGAUGCUAUAGUAAACGUGUGCUAAUUAUGGAUUAAUUAGGUUUGGUAGAUUCGUCUUCUAAAUUAGCCAUGACUUAUGCAAUUAGUUUUAUAAUUAGUUUAUAUUUAGUCCUCCUAAUUGGCAUCUAAACAUCCAAUGUGACCCGGACUAAACUUUAGCCCAGGAUCCAAAUACCCCCUUAGUAUCAAGUAUCAUGUGCUGGGAGGAUGGCGAACAGAUAAUUGAAGGUGUGUGGGUGUUGACAUAUGCAUCACCAUCCAUGAACGGUCCCAGCAAUGCUGCAUCCAAACUCGGGAAUGCUUCUGCAUUGCGGGGUGUAUUUGGUGAAUACAGAUACUACCUCUAUCUCUUUUUAUCUGUCGCUUGGGAUUCCCAAGCGAUAGAUAAAAAGGGAUGGGAGGAGUAGAAUAUAAUCGUUGGUGAAGCCUGAAGAUGGGUCAGAUUUCAGAUCUAUCUUACAUCUGCUUCGCUAAUGUUAUGUCGUGCCUUUUUUUUCUUUCUUCUCGUAGCUUCGUUCGCCUUGAGGCGGCCAUUCUUCAUGGCCCACGUAACAUGAAACUCCAAAACCUUGAGUUGUUGAUUGUGCUCAGGUUUGCGACUUCUCCAAGAGGCCAAGACCCAGUAUAAUUGUAGGGCAAAUACGGUCGGUUUUUUUGUAGGAGCCAAAACCUGAGAUAGUAGAUAAACUGGGCCAAGUCGAAGCUGCAUGUCGCACGAUCAAGGACACAAAACCAAAAAUUUCAAGUGAUGCAUCAUUCCUCUCGAACCGGCAUUCCUCCUGACAGACAAAACAGGGUUCAGAAAAAAGGGCCAUCAAAUGAUCAAAGCCCAAAGCAGCUACACUACAUUCUCUGCACACCCUUGUGCCAGUGGCCAGUGCCACUAGCCCGAAGAGCUCCUUCGUUCCGUCGAGGCAAGCAAGAUCGCAGCAGGGAGGGAGGGCAGGACCUAGCAUCAUCAUCCGUGGACGGGCCCAGCAAAGCUGCAUCCUCUGCCGUAGGCUGUAGCCUUUGCGAGAAUCAUACAUCGAUACACACAUGCGUACGCGCGCGCCACACCGCCCACACGUUAUCCUGGGCGGGGAACGCCCGCGUCUACUCUACACGCCGCCAUGCCGGGGAGCGGUCACGGCAUGUUGCUGGAAUGAUUGGUCGCCCUGGGGCCUGGAAAGCAGCGUCCAUCGCGCCUGCCUCGUGUACGCCGCGGGCACAAGCGCCACCAUUCUGCUCCUGAAAGCGUCUCGAUCAUGGAGCAUGCGGCAUGCCUGCGGAAACCAAGCACGGAGUAGCAGUCCGCCAGUCCGUGCAGGUACCAUACCAUACCGGGAGAGAAGCACACAGGCUCGACUCGACAGCGAAUGACAAGUGCAUUCCCAUUGCUAAAGAAAGCCUAGGCGCGAUGCAGAAACCGGAGCAAGCUCUAGCUCGCUCUAGAGGCGGCGUGCACCAACGUGAUCCGAUGAGUGCGUGCAAGCUGCUGCGUGCGGCGGCUGCCGGCCGGCCGGGCGCCUGGGCGGGCUGAUCCGGCAUGGCAGCGGCGUCAGCCUGACGGAUGUCCAUGUCGCGGAAGCAGAGGUGCUUGAGUUUCUGCAGCUGGGAUGGAUUGGGUGAGUUUCAUCGCUCAACCGUUUUACUGGACAUGGGUCCUCCCUAACUAUGAUACCAAUCAUUUUACCUCCCCAACUAAAAUACCGACAAGUUUUGUGUGCAUAAAACAUACACGUCAGCCUAGCAUGUUAGGGAAAAUAAUAGUUUGUUUAUCGUAGGUUAUAAGUCAAAAUAUUCUUAUUUUGUUUUUUCUACAAAACAAUUUUUAAUGGCUUCUGGUAUAAAAAAAUUCUACUACAUUCAUGAAAUAAAUUUUCUUGGUUCAAAAUGAUUUUUAUUCAACCAGAACAUUAUUUUAUCUAAAAAUAUUUUUUCCAAUGGCUUGGAUAAUUUUGCUAUAUUCGUAGAACAUUUUUUCUUGGUUCAGAACAAUAUUUUAUUUGAUCAUCACAUCUUGAUUUCUACCUAGGAAUUUUUUUUGCUAUUGGUUUGUCGUGGGGUUGUUCCCGAUGGAUAAAACACACAAGCCCACCCCUAGGAGGUGACAAAAAACAAUCUAAAUUUGCGAAGGAUUGUGUGGGGUUUAAAUGGACAAGACUUAAAUAUGGACUAAAAGAGUCAUGGUCUUUUGGAGGAAAAAGCCUAUUCCAGUAGUACAGUUCACUUCCACCACAUUGUACUAUUGAAAUGCUUAGGUCUUGAAUAUUGAAUCUUUCAAGCGACAUAUAGGGUGUUUUUUCUCAAUUAUCUCAAAUUAGAAAGACAGCUAGCCCCGUGGGCACUAUGACAAUUAAAAUGUCAUAAUACUUUCUAUGCUGCAGAGAAAACACAUAAAGCCAUAAAAGAAUACCAGCAAAAAAAGCCAUAAUAGAAAGGUGGAAAGUUUUUCUUUUUACAAACAAGCAUAAGCAGUACCUAUCUCACUCAACAAAGUAGAAAUUUACAAGCAGCCAGCCAAAAUGUAAAACACAGGAGCAUCAACAAAAUUGUCAAAAGGUCCUACGCCCCUGCAAGGAAUAUCGUUAAACGCCUUGCUCCCAUUAACACCAAGGUCUUGCUUCCUCCUGAACCUUCCUUCCGUUGGAAAUUGAAGCCCUAAUUGCAUUCUUUCACAUUGUUGACUUACUGGAUCACCUUCCCUCAAGAAGAAUAGUCACAGAGGAUGAGCCAAUGCUCGCUAUUGAUAGAUCAUCCAAGCUGACGUACGAAUCAAAUCCUUCAUUCCGCAUCAGUGACAGAUCAGGAGGAAUCGACUGACUAGAUUCCAUGUAUUGCAUGACCCUUCGCAUGCUAGGCCUUAUAUUGGGCAACGGGUGUGCGCAUAUCAAACCCAGUUUCAGCACUAGGAUUACCUCUUCCCUUUCAUACUUCCCCACGAGCCGUGGAUCCACGACGUCGAGGAUUGAGCCAUUGUCAUGAUGCUCGAUCACCCAAUCUACCAGCACGAUCCGACUGUUGCGGUCAUCGUGAUCGAUCGGCCUCCGUCCACAAGCGACCUCCAAGAGGAACACACCAAAUGCAAACACAUCGGUUAAGGGUGUUGCCUUCCCCGUGCGUAUGAGCUCUGGCGCAAGGUACCCUAUGGUCCCGGCAACGUGUGUGCUCUGAGGAUCGGUGCCAUGGUCAUACAGUUUGGCCAAGCCGAAGUCGCUGAGCUUACUGUCCAUCUCGCCAUCCAAGAGCACAUUGCUCGCUUUUACAUCUCGAUGGAUAACAACUUGCUCGCAGUACUCGUGUAGAUACAGGAGGCUUGCUGCAACGCCUUUGAUGAUCCUGUACCUCACAUUCCAAGAAAGUGCUGGCGAUUGCUGAUCAUGUAAGUGUCUAUCAAGACUGCCAUUUGCCAUGUAGUCGUACACCAAGAGAAGUUCACCUUCACGCCUGCAGUAGCCCAGUAACUGCACGAGGUUCCGGUGCCGGAUGCGGCCAAUGCUCACCACCUCAGCGACAAACUCUCUGAUUCCUUGUCUCGAAUCAUGUGACACCUUCUUCACCGCGAUCUCCAAAUUGGAUGGCGCAAGUAUCCCUUUGUAUACUCUCCCGAACCCUCCGACGCCAAGUAAGUUGCUAUCCUUGAAGCCAUCGGUGGCAUGGAACAAAUCUUUGUAUGAGAACCGGUGCGGGCCGAACUCAUCCUCCCAAUCUUCCCGCACCUCGGCAUACCGGCGCCUUCUCCGUAGGAUCAGGAAGACGGCUGCUACCACUGCAAUCACUAGCAAGGCGAUGGCGAGUGGCAGCGCGACAACGAACACCUUGGACCGAGGCUUCGGACCCACGGGCGGCAGGAACGGAAGCUUGGAGAAGUCCAGAGGAGAAGCUGGCCCGUCCAAGCAGAAGCUCCAUCCGAGCACGUAGUGGCUCGUCAACAUGAUACUGGACGUCGACGAGAAGCCAAUGUACGCCGGAUCGGCGACGACCGUCGAAAGAUCAAUGUUCAUGGAGAGAAGAGGUCUCUUGGGCUUUGGCACUCGCCCCGGACCUAGGGUCACAUUGAGCUGCCUGGCCUGGCCGUCGUAGUCCACCCACACUUGCAUCGGCUCACGGCUGUUUAGCCUCAGUUCUUGAAAGGCGCCGCCGGCGCGGUCGUUGUAGUAGCCGGCUGAGCUGGCUCGCUGAGACACGAGGCUGUUGACGUCGACGCCGACGUGGUUGCUGUCGAUGUCGCCUAACUCGGGGUUCAUGAUGGUGUCGAGCUCGACGGCCAGGAAGUGGUCGCUCGCCGAGCCGUCGUUGAUCACGUUGAGGCCCAGGUACUGCGCGCCGCCGUUCGCCGCGGAGAGGGCGGUGGUCGGGGCGACCACGAAGGCGAGGCCUUGGUCGCUGAUCAGCCCGUCGUGGACCGGGGACACGAUGGCGAAGACGAAGCACGUCGAGAAGGACCGCGGCGCGGCGGUGCCGUUCGCCGCCGUGGCGGGCUUGCUGAUGAGCAGGUGCAGAGGCUCCGGGUGGAAGGCGUGCCCUUUCGCCUGGCGCGUGGCGUUGGUGAGCUCGAGGAGACCCCCGAGCGUCACGGCGGCGUGGCCGGCCAGAGUUAGGUUCGCCGCCGCGAAGCCGUGGUAAACAAACCGGCCGCCGUCGGCGGCGGCUGACGCGGCCACGUGAAGCAGGAGGAGCACAACGACGAAGGAUACGAGCUUGGAAAGCAUAGUUAGCUUUUGCGGGAAACUUGGCAUUGCAGCCGCAGAAUACAAACCCUUAGGAUGCGUCUGUCGGCUAAAUGAUUGCUUGGUCUGUGACUAUGCUGUGGAGCUUCUCGACGGUAGGCUGGGUGUUGAAUGUUUCGGUCGCGUGCAUUGACUUGUCGAUGUCCUGUAAACUUUUGUCCCGUGCGUUUAGCACCCUGAUUGACAGGGAAGGGUGCUCAUGCAGACCCGGCGUUUUGUAAGCCAGUAAUCUGGCAGAUGCAGGAUGGCUACUUCUCUGCUGUUCGCUCUGUCGCCGUGCCCUGCAGGGUACAAAAAAGGACGGGUGACUGACAUCAUUCACCUUUAUUUUGAUCGAUUGGUCAUUGAGCUUAGUCCAAAUUUGACAAAGUAUGCUUUACCUGAGCUUGUUUAUUUGUUGCUCGUUCGAGCCUGAUUGGAAUAUGGCAAAUUAGUCUCCUACUAGUAUAUAUCAGAUAAUGUGCAUGUCUCAAAUCGAUCUAGUCAGGUUGUGUAGUGGGUCAAUCCUAGAGUUGCAAUUGAUCUCGUCAUGAAUGCAUUUCUAAGAGUAUUCAGGGUCUGGACUUGACUGAUUCAGUGAGGCGUUUGUCAACUCAUGCACAGGUUACUUGUAAAAAAAAAGGAAAAAAAACUAAUGCGCAGCUUACUCUUGACUUUGAUUCAAACAUUUUGUAUCCGUUCGUUUUGUUAUUGUUGCUUUUUUGUAAUCUAACUUAUCGAUAUGCCAUUUGGGGGUGGACAAUAUAUGGUAUAUCAGAGAUAGAAUUCAGUAAUUUCUUAGUACAACGCGAACAAGAUAAUUACUAAUUAAACAUCAAAUAUUCUGAUCACAAGCACCACAUCACCUUCCUGGUGAGAAAUCAGAAACGGCACCCGAGCUCGCUGAUGACAUAGAUGACAUCAUAUUCUGGUUGAAAUCCGUGCCAUACAUCCGGCCCAGCAUGGUAAAAUUUAGGGAUGUUGAUGACAAGUUGGGAAGGGGCAUAUCACCAUCGAGAUACUGUAUGACUUGCCGCAUGCUUGGCCUUGCGUUGGGUAAUGGGUGCGAGCACAUCAACCCUAGCUUAAGUACUAGAGUGAUCUCAUCAGGAUCAAAUCCACUCGGGAUCAUCGUGUCCGCCGCAUCAAUGAUCAAACCCCUGCGCCAAUGCUCAGCUACCCAAUCCACAAGCACGACGCAGUUCUUGUGCUCAUCUUCCCCGACCGGCCUUCGCCCGCAAGUGACUUCUAGAAGGAAUGCACCGAAGGAGAACACAUCAGCUGCUGGAGUUGCCUUGCCGGUGUGCCCUAAUUCAGGUGCUAGGUACCCCAUAGUACCAACCACAUGGGUUGUUUGGGGAUCGUCUCCAUGUCCAUACAACCUUGCGAGUCCGAAAUCUCCUAGUCGUCCAUUCAUCCCGCUGUCGAGGAGCACAUUGCUUGCCUUGACAUCUCGGUGAACCACAACUUGUUCCCAAUCCUCAUGGAGGUAUAGUAGUCCAGAUGCCACUCCUCUGAUGAUAUGAAAUCUCUGAGGCCAAUCCAGUGUACCCUUGCUCCGAUCGUACAAGUAUUUGUCUAGGCUACCAUUUGGCAUGUAAUCGUAGACCAAGAGAAGUUCACCUUUGCGCCGGCAGUAGCCAAGUAAUUGCACGAGGUUGCGGUGACGCAGUCGUCCAAUACUUGAAACCUCUGUGACCAAUUCCUUCAUGCCAUGCUUUGGCUCAUGAGACACCUUCUUCACCGCGACCUCCAUGCCGGACUUGUGGAGAGCGCCCUUGUACACACUUCCAAACCCUCCUUUCCCGAGCAGUCGCUUCUCGCUGAAUCCCUUGGUCGCAUGGAACAGUUCCUUGUAGGAGAACCGGUGCGUCCCCAACGCUGUCUCCCAGUCCUCGCGCACCUCGGUGUACUUGAUCCGCCGCCGCACCAGGGUGAAAAUCGAGACGCCCACGGCGAGCAACAGCGUCACCGACGCUAUGGGCAGCACGAUCUCCAACACCUUCGACCGUGGCUUGGACCCCGCCGGCGGCAAGCCAGGCAGCGCCGCGACGUUCAGCGGCGGGGCGGGUCCGUCCAGCGCGAAACUCCAGCCGGCCACGAAGUGGCGUGAGAAGAGGACGCCCGUCGCCGACGUGAACCCCACGUACGCCGUGCCCCGCAUCACACCGGAAAGGUCGACGGCGGUCUGCAGCAACGGCUUCUUCGGCCUGGGCACGCCCAGAGGGGCCAUGGUCACGGUGACCUGCGUGGCCUCGCCGUCGUAGUCCACCCAGACCUGUAUGGCCUUCCGGCUUACCAGGCUCAGGUUCCGGAACCGCCCCGUGCCAUCGUCGUAGUACCCGGCGUCAGCGGCAGCGAUCGACCUGAGGCUGUUAACGUCGAUCCCGACAUGGUUGCUGUUGAUGUCGUGGAAGUCGGCGUUGAGGAGCGUGUCGAACUCCACGGCGAAGAUGUGGGCGCUCCGGUUGCCGUUGUAGGUGGUGUUGAGCAGGCCCAGGAACUGGCCCGGCAACGCGGUGGAUAGCAGUUCCUUGUCGGGCGAGACGAAGAACGCCAGGCCGUGGCUGCUCAGGUCGACGUACGGGCCGUAGAUGGCGAACACGAAGGUGGUCGAGAAGGACCGCGGCUUCUGGGCGGCGCCGCCGAACGGCAGGGGGUCCGUGUGGAAGGCGUGGCCCUUCAUCUGGAUGGUGCCGUUGGUGAGCAUGAGGAGGCCGUUCGGCGUCACCUCGGCCGAGCCAUCGAGGGACAUGCUCGCGCCCGCGAAGCCGUUGUAGACGAACUGGUGGCCGUCGCUGCCGCCGCCGGUGGCCGCGGCCCCGCGGUGAGCGGGCACGAGGAGAAGGACCAGAGCGGCGCAGAGCUGAAGGAGCAUGGCUUUUGCGUCACGGGUGGCGCAGGCGCAGGCGCAGGCGCGCAGCCAAUGAUACGUCCCCUUUUUUUCCCUCCUUUGAAACUGAAAGGCAGCUUUCUUAGCCUUGAAUCGCUGGUCACCUGAAUUGGAUUGUAUAAUUGCAGGCAGAAAAUCCACAGUAUAUUUAUGUGGGUCACAGAUGCUUUCAUCGUAAGCCUUUUAAAGUGAUUUUAGGGAGGAAAAAGUUCUGGGGUACUCGUGGGCUCGUGGCACGUCGCCACCUAACAAAUUAUACAGUCCUUCAAGGUCAGCCUUGCAGUGCCCUUCUUCAUGGAGCUCAUCACCAUUCUUGCUUGGAGCAUGUGGAUUGUUACAAAUGAUGCAAUCUUCAACAACACAAUUGCAGAUCGAAAUUCAAGCAUGAAUUCGCAAUGCUUAUGUAUCAUGCGAAAAAGAGCUACUUCAUUCGCAUCAGUAACUUGCUAGUCUCUCUAGAUUAAACUUUAGCUCUUUUUUGUUGUUUUUCUCUUUUCUUGUUUUCUGCUCUCUUUUUGGUUUCUUUGUCCUGCAUCAUAAAUCCAGUAGGGAGCUCCUGCUCUUGUUUUUUGAAAGAAGAAAAAAAACGUCGCCACCUACCAAGCUGCUGAUCGAGCAUGCUGAACUGCUGACUGGAAGCAUCAAUGGUUGAGUUUCUAGCUAUUUUUACUCCACAGUGAGAAGGAGAAAGUCAGGUAGACCGGAAAAUUAGGCGGCUCAUUGCCAGAACUGCCGUCAAACUUCAAAGGAGCUUGGAAUUUCUUUUUUUUAAAUGGCGUGCAAAUAUAUGAUUUCGAUAGCUUAUCUCUGCCUGUUCGAACAUGCUUCCAUAACUGGAUGCGGUUGAUUGAGCUCAUGCGGCUCUGUAGCCUGUCCAGUCAAAAAUUUGUUAAGCAUGUUGUUUUGCACGAGGAUUUAGCCAAAAUUUCAAAAACUUUAGUAUAUCAACACAUGUCAAAAUAUAACAAAUAUAUGUAGAGAUUUUUCUCAAAAAGCAUUAAUCGAAUGGGUUUUAGGUAUUAGAUCACAUACUCCCAAACAUGAAAAACUAUGCAAACAGCAAGCAGAACUGCUAAUGGGCCGAGGAAGUUUACCUUAUGGGCCGACGUGUGGAUGCUUCUCUAAAAAAAUGAAGCCCAGCCCACGUGGGAUGUGCAAAUGGGGCUCAAAAAUGGACAUAUUCGUUGUUAAGCACUUUCACACAUGCAGUGUACUUAAAGUAUAUUUGACACAAACGUAGGGACACUUUUACUGUUCCAAAUUGUAGAUCAUUUUGAUUUUUCCAGGUGCAUAAUUUUUCUAUACACUUAAAUAGUGUAUGUUUAGAUGCAUAAUAAUAUCUAUGAACCUAAAAAAGCUACAUAUAAUUUGGAACGGAGGGAGUAAUUUUUUAAAUAAUUAUUGGUUAAAAUAUAAAUAGUAAAAGUCAAAAUUAUCAAGUAUUCGUGGACGGAGGUUAGUAGUUCACGAACUGGAUUUUGCAGCUUGUAUAAUUUUUCGCACCCCUAUUGCUUCACAUGACAACUAUAGCAAGCAAACAUUGACUUAUCCGCCCCGGUUAAUUGAUGACCGAUCGAUAAACUUGUCAAACUCACCUUUAAACUUUCACAUUUCAAUAUUUAUACAUGUAACAGCAGGCCAAAACAAAAAUCGAAUACCAAGGAACAUAUACGAAUACCAAUCUCCACACUAUACACGUUACAUGUACGUAUGAACGCGCCUUCUCUACCCCCCGGCAUGUACGUAUAAACUUGUCGGUGUUUUAACGAUCAACGAGCCUCGUGGCAUGUGCGCCUCACCGGGCCUCCCUCUCGUCGUUCCUCCAGUUGCCAUGCAUCUUGGGCCCCGUCGGCCCAUCGCCGACGAACACCUUCUCCACCAGCUUGGCCAGCCGCUCCCUCACCGAGCGCGGCAGGAUCCACGCCACGCGGUUGAUCACACGCCCGAUGACGUACUCCUCCUUCGGACCCCACCCGCGCUCGAACCCGAGCCACGCCGGCUCCGCGACGCCGAGGUACUCCGCCGACACCACCUCGCACCGCCCGGCGCCGCCGGUGUCCAGCCUGCUCCCCCUGGAGGUGUCGUUCCGGAUCCCGACGCCCAGCCUCGAGUCGCCCUGCAGCACCAGCCCCGCCUUCGGGUACAACGCGUGCCCGUGCCGCGACGCGUACGCCACCGGCCUGUUCCCGCCGUCUCCCGCGUCGAGGUACUCCAGCUGCGACGCCUCCACCCACGUCCCCGCGCUGUGCUGCGAGAAGUACAUCCGGCGGAGCUCGCCGGAGAAGUUGCUCACGCGUAGCGUCACGUGCUCCCAGUCGCCGACGUGCUCGCCGAUCUCGCCCAGCGGGAUCGUGAGGAAGCCGACCUUGGCGCGCGCCGGCCCGUUGAACGGGUAGAAGAUCCACACGGCGAGGUCGGUCACCGUCCCCCCCAGCAUCGGCUUCGCCUGCACGUACACCUUCGCGCUGGCGAGGUCGCUCUUCUUGACCUUCUCCCUCUGCUUGUUGUCCGCCGGCAGGUCGAGCCAGUACCCGCCGUCGUUGCCGCCGCCUUGCGGGAGGUUCGACCCGUCGGCGGCCACCGGCGUCGGGAUCUGGCUUCCCUUCUGGUACAGCAGCGCGCCGUUCUCGAAGAACCAUGUCGCCGACGAAGGGAAGUAGGAUUCGUUCGGGUGCAGGUACACGUGCGGCGCGUAGGCCGCGAGGAGGGAGUUCACCUGAGCCAGGUCAGGCAUGGCGGACGUGUAACUCGCGCUGUUGUUCUUCAGGCAUGCCAGCGACGAGGCGUUCGCCGGUGUCACGCUGCUCUGAGCUAGGAACGUGCCGGCGUGCACUCCUCGGGCGUCGAUGCCACGGACCGCCGGCCUCAGAGUGGCCGCGCUGAAGCCGUCCUUGUCGCUGUUGCUCAGUUCCGGCUUCUCGGUCUCGCACGCGUCGGUGAAGUCGGCGCGGACGCACCGGACCUCGUCGGGCGAAGGCUUGUCAGACGUGGCCGUGACCACCGCGCCGACCGCCUUGUAACCAUCAGGAGCCGUGGGGAGCCAGAAAUGGCCGGCGCCGUCCGGGCUGGACCAGACGAGGUUGUAGUCCACGGGCGCGGCAAGGAGUGCUCCGGUGCCGGACGUGUCCCGAGCGACGAGCACGUGACCGAAGAGAGGCCGGCUGUUGGGCUGCGCGUAGUGGCCGAGCACGGAGAAGCCGGCAGGGACCGGCGAGGGCUUGAAGAAGGUGGCGCCGACGCCGUCCUCUCCACCUUGCGUGGUGGACCAGACCUUAGCGAACGUGGUGAUUUGGCGCACUUCUAGGCCUCCAAGGUCUAUGCUGCCCUUCGCAAAUCCUCCAUCUGAAACUGAAACAGCAGCGCCACCGGUGAGCUAAAAAUGUGUUCAGAGCAGACAAGAUAAAGCUACCUCUACCUAAAUUCGAGGUGAUUUCAGGCAAGCUGCCUCUAUACAAAGCUUAAAGAUAACAUUUGACGUGUGUGUGCUUUUGCCGUCUAAAUUUCUACAGUAACCGUCCUCUAAAUUUCUGCCAACGUGUGGAAGCAAAAACGCCCCCAGCAGCUAGGACAAAUUUUAGUUUCUACUGAUGCUCUCUUUGGACAAACAUGUUGGUAGUAGUAGAACUAAACUGAAUUCUACCAGGAAAUCAACGAGCUUAUGAAGACGAUGUACCUGAGGCUGGCCAAGAUGGUAGCGCAACCGGAGGAACGAAGUGCUUCUCAAUGGGCAGCGCCGCCGUCCCCAUGGGCACGCAAGGCAAGCACGACUUGCUCCUUUGCAUAGCUCCGGCAAAAGGUCCGACUGAGAAGAAGGCAAGCAGCAGGCAGCUCGCCGAUGGCUUGUUUGGCGACGACUUCACUACUGCUCGUGCCUUUAAUGCGUCUUCCUCCGCCUCACGGCCCGUCCAUAUAUAAUGUACUGUAUGUUCCUGACGACACGGAUCUAAUCCACAUUAUCGCUUAACUUCCCACGAGAUACACAAGUACCCUCUGCUCGUAGAGGCUCUACUGUUUAGAGUGUUCCGUCUCGGCUUGGACUUGUGUGGUGUCCGUGUGUUAGUUAGAGACCCAGCGGCCGGCAUGAACGGACAGGGUCGUCGCUUGUGGUAGUGUUGCAUGCUUCCGCGCUGUAUAGUUGGAGGAAAACGUGCGACAAGGCGAGAGGACAGCGACGACGCGCUGCAGGCUGCGUCGCGUAGUGGUUAGGUCAGGGAAGGCCAGGCAUAUACAGCAGCCUGUUUUGGCUUCGUCUUUGUAUCCUAGUUGUACUCUCGUCUUUUCUUCCUGCACUCUUUUUUCUAAUAUAAUACAGAAUCAGUAGGGAUGCAAAUCCCUCCUGUUUCAUUAAAAAAAAGGGACCCUACCAAAUUAGAGAAACGAAUAGAACAGCUGAAAGAUUCCGGUGACGAUGCAGAGCAAGAAAGAUUAUUCGCAAGUGUGCCUUGCAACUUGCAGGGCUCCCUUAUCCUCCCAGUGGGACUAUGGAAGUCUUCAGACCCAUCGAACGAGAGUAUACGCAGUUGUUACUUCACGGGAAGAGGAGCAGAAUUGAACUUGCAAAGAAUAUGCGAUAAUGCAAAGGAAAUAUCCUUUUUUCUUUAGCUGCUGGAAGUCACAUCAGUUUGGAGUAUUGGAGUGUUCCAGCACAAAAUUUUCGUUGUUGCACUUGCACAACAGGCGACUUUCAAUUUUUGUUUCUUUUCAUAUACCGUGGGGUAAUCAUUUAGACGAGCAAAUAUUGUUUUCUCUGUUGCAUGUACAAACGGUACAGAGAUGAGAGUAUAGCUUAUCUGUCCAAUCACGUGACGUAUGACCCCAUGCAUGGUGUAAUCCUAAUCCAAUAGACUAUUGAUACAUCUUGCAUUAAAGGAAAAGCGUAUGAUUAUGGAAGUAAACAUCUCGAGGACGACGUAAGUGCAUAGAAAAAACUAUAUAUAUAUAUUAUAUCUAAAAACUAAAAAAUAACUAAUAUUUUAGAACGUAAGGAAUACAAUAAAAUUGCAUAUUGAACAUUAUCAGCAGAAGAAUGCAAUAGACUGAUGAGGAGCCCAAGAUAAGGCCUAUGCGGCCAUGGGCUCUCUCGAGAAAGGAGAUAGAUCUAGGGCUGAUGCUGCUCUUGGCCCAAGCGAGGUCCGCGAGACGUAGACAAGCACGAGCAUGGGCCCGUGACCUGAGGCUCAGGCCCACGAAACGCCGACACGUCAGCUUGCCUGCGCUCUCUUGAGGACGCGGUUAUACAUCGCCAAGAGGCGACAAAUUUGCGUGGGUGACCUUCUAACCGUCCGCGCAAAGGGAUUAAUGGGCCAGCACAUUUUUCAAUGGUUCAGAUACAAUAAUUAGCGCGUCCGUCCGUUGACUGUGAAUGAAGGGGUAUUCACCUAUGAGAGACAACUACACGGAAAGAAAAAAAGAUUCUGGAUGCAUGCAAAUAAAGAGAGCAAAUAAAGAGAGUAAUGAUGACAUCAUCCAUAUACAUGCAGUUUUGAAAUUUAAAAAAUCAUAAAUUAUAAACUGAGCAUCCAAAUUAAAUUCCGAUUGUACCGCUGUAUUUCUUAGAUCUUUAAAACAAGAUCACACUCGACUAUGUUUGGAUGAUUUUAUAACAAAAAUAUUUUUUUAAAAUAUGAAAUGUUAAAUUUGAUUACAACGAACAAAUACUUGAAUAACCAGAACAAAUAAUUGCCUCAUACGAACAAAAAAAUAACAGGGUGAACAAAUGAUUAUAAGCAGCGAAUGAAAUACUAAACAUCACGAAGAUUGCAUGAUGCAAAUAAAAUAGACGUAUAGUAAACAAAAGAUUGAAAAUUUGAUUGUGUAAGAUAAGAUGGUAGAAUAUGAACAUCAAUUUAGAACAUUCUUUUAAAAUACGUACCACUAGAAUAAAUUAUACGAACUCAAAUGUUAUACUAAUCGAACAAGUUAUAUAACUCAUGGAACAAAAAUAAAUACACCCGGAACAAAUUAUACGAACUCACAGAACAAAAUAGUAGUACACAUCGAACAUAUUGUAUGAACUCACAGACAAAGGAUCUACAUACCUCGAACAAAUUUUCGGAACUCAUAGAACAAGUAUUUAUACACUUAGAACAAAUUACAUGAACUCAUUGAAUAAAAAUUUAUACACUUGGAACAAAUAUAUUUGGAUAUAUAACGGUAUUUUAAUCCACGAGUCUACAUGGUUGACCAGUUUAAUCAUAAAAAGGAAUAAAUGAGCCAGUGUCGCGAAUGAAUGAGUCUAUUGAAUACAUAAUUUUACACUCCAAACUAAUAAAUCUAUGUAGAACAACUAAAUGUACUAAGUAAUAAUCUAAUGUACUUUUUUUUACUGAGAAAAAUAUAUAUUGUUAUAAAAAAAUACAAGAGAAGAGUAAAAAGAGAAAAGAAAAAUGAAUCAAAUAAGGAAAAAAUAUAGAUUACAUGAAGAAAUAUAUAGAAGAGAAUCUGAAUUAAAAUAUAAAAAGUAAUUAAUUAAUAAUAAAAAGGAAAAGAAAUCAAAAGGGAAAAAAGAACGAGGAAAUGAAAAUAAGAUCGAAGAUAAAAAAUAAUAUAAAAUAAAAGAAACGAAAAUUAAAGUAAAAGAAAAAAGAAAAAAUAGUCAUAAUAAGAUAUAUGAGCUUGCGAAAUAAAUUAUAAUAUAAAUGAGACGACUAAAAGAAUAAAAAAGAGUGAAAAGGAAAAGCUUCAGUAAGAAAAAGGAAAAAAAAGAAGAAAAUAUGUUAACCGGAGAAGAGAAAUAGAUAGCGAAAGGAAAAAAAAUGAAUGAAAGAAAACACAGUGAUGAAACAAAUAACGAACAGAACAAAGGAAAAAAACACUAAAGAAAAAGAAACCAGAAGCACCUCUCCGUCCACAUGCCACUGCCAGCUCGCAGAAAAAAAAAACAAAACAGCACGAGGGCGGAGUUAGGCUAAAUCACCAGCGACAUAUGGCCCUGACG